CCGGGCCCAUUCUUCCAGCUUUUUAGCAUCAAUUCUGCAGACCAAAACAUACAGAACAAUUCAACCCAAAUGGUGAUUCGAGUCAGGUCAAAUAGAAAGGUAAUUUUUAGACUCUGUUCAAUGAAACUAUUAAUGAUCUAUAUGAUGUAACAAUUAUAUUCUUUCAGUUUCCUGUUAUGCAGAGUAACAAAGGAAUAAAAGAGAAAAAAAUUGACCACCAAUAUAUGAACAUCUUAAAAGCACCAGGCAUCUCCAAUUUUUCAAAUGAUCUGGCUAAGCUUUUCAAACGUUUCAGUUUCUGCUAUGUUUGUCAUUUAUCUAUCUUUAUGUGUUGCCUGUAUUUCUUUUCAUUUCAAUUGGUUAAAAAAACUCAAAUGAUCUAUAUAUAAAGGUAACAAUGUUGAUAAAAAAAAUUCUUGAGAAAAAUAGUUGUAAAUUAUGCAUAGAAUAAGAUUUUUUUUUCUCAUGUUUCUUUGAAACCAUCCAUGAGAACCACCUAAGCCUAAUUCUUGCAAACAUCCAGCAAUUAUUUACGUCUCUCCAUCUAAAUAAACAGAAUUUUAAAGUGAUUUGUGGUCUUCAGAAAACAAAUGCCAAUAAUCAACAAUAACAAAUGUUUUCUUAUUUCUCAUGCAAUAGUUUCAAAUAUAAAAAAUUAUCAUUCAGAUGCAAUAAGCUUGAUAAAAGAGAUACUCUCAUAAAGCAUUAACAAUCAUUAUUUACACUAAUUCCUGUUUGAAAACUAAACUUAAAUUGGGGAAUUGAAAUGAACAAAAAGACUUCCAGCAACAAAACCAAAGAAAAAAUCAGAAAACAAGCCUGUAUUGCUCUGGGUCCUCCUUCAAUGCCUUAAUGUAAGCCUGAAAAAUGGCCUCUCGAUCCUCGUCACUCGGAUACCCUUCCAUGAGUUGAUCAUACACAGUAACAAGACCAAGACCAAACACGGGAUCAUAAAGGUAAGUCUUCUUAUACCUCAUCAAAUGUUGUUGUACUAUCAACUCCUGCAAAACAGUAUUAUAGAUACUCGGGAUCGGUCUCUUGUACGCCUUUAAGAAAUUGGACUUUGUCUCGGAUACCGUUGGUGGCACAUCUGGAAACCCAAAAAACCAAACAAACCAUUCAAAACAGAUCCACACACUAUCAUAUGCUAUAUCAACAAACCUAAAAAUUGCAGAAUUAAAACCAUAAACACAAUAAUGACAAGGAAAAACAAAAUCUUUGACCACAGAUUCUCAGAAACUACAAUUAAGCAUUAAAAACAUACAUAUAAAUUUCAAGUCUAAGUUUCCAAUAACCACUAAGCGAAGCAUUAAUAGUUCAAAAAAAAUACUAAAAUAUAUUUACUUCAUUUUGUUACUGAAUCAAUCACAAAAUUAGUUCUUUUCAACUAUUAAACAGAAAUUUUCACUGAAACAAUUCAUAAAAAUAAAUAAAUAAAGCCCGCUAGUUCCUCAUGAAAGUAAAAAAAUGAAUCUAUAAUCAAACAAUUGAAUAUUAAAAGCUUAACCUCCGAACUACACUAAAUUUCUACAACUUUUAUUUCUAUUUCUCCCACUUUCUCAGCAACCAAACACAGAACAGAAAAACAAUAAAAAAAAAAAUCAACAAAGACUAUUUUAUUUUUUUACCAGUGGAAGUGGACAUGCAAUGAAUAGCCGUACGAGAAGUCGAAUUCGAAGCUUUAACGCCACCAUAAUGACACGAAAAAACCGACCGAAGUCGAAAACCUUCAAAACUUAAAUUACGCGACGCUAAAGAGGACACGAAAGUGUUUCGCUCCCUAGAAGAUUGGUUUACAGCAGAGAACGAUAGGCUAGUAAUGGCAGUCAUUGUUUAUCGAUACAAAUGCGUGUUUGAAUAGAGAGAAAAUGAGAGAGUGUUUUUCCGGGAAAAUUAAGUUAUAGGAAAAGAAGAGAAAAAAAUUAUUUGCAUUUUCUAUUUUUUGCUGUGUUUGGAUUGAGAGAAAAGGAGAGAAAGUGAGAGGUUAGAAAUUGAAAGAGAGGCUUAUCUUUAAAAAAAUACAAAAAACAAAAACAAACAAACAGGACUUUUGUGAUUUUUAGAGGGAACCAGUGAAGUUUGACACGUAAUCUGUUAUUAUUUGUUUGGGUUGUUGCAUGGGUGGUUGCGGUUUUUACCAAUGGGUUGCUUGGAAACACGGAAGUGCUAGAAAUUAUUUUUUAAAAUAAUAUUUAUUUAAAAAUAUAUUAAAACAAUAAUUUUUUUAUUUUUAAAAUUUAUUUUUAACAUCUACACAUUAAAAUAAUUAAAAAACACUAAAAAAAUUAAUUUGAUGAAAAAAAAAAAUUUCAACUUUUGAUGAAAAACAUGUUUAACUUCAAUACCAAACACACAUUAAAAGACGUUUUCUUCUUUGAUAGUAAAGAUCGGGGUGUUUGACACAUUUUUUGUUUAUAUUUUUAAGAACUUUUUAAAAGUAUUUCAGGAUUGAAAAAAUUAUUAAAUUGAUAUGUUUUUAGUAUUUUAUAAUAAUUUUAAUUUAUUGAUGUCAAAAAUAAAAAUAAAAUCUAAAACAAAUUAUUUUAAUACAUUUUUUAAAAUAAAUUAUUUUAAAAAACACAUUACACCACUGCCACAAACAUUCUCCUUGCAAACUAUCAUCUUCUCAAGUUGUGUUCCCCAUACUUGUAAAGAUGGCAAUUUAAGCUAAUUUAAUAGGUAUUUAUAAUAGCUAUAAAAAUAUUUAUUAUUUAUUUUUUUAAUUGUUAUUUCAUCUAUUUUGGAUCCUUUUUUAAUUAUAUUUUUUUUCAAUGUUAUCCUUUCAUAUUUUGAUAAUUUAAAAUUUAUCUUUAUUAUUUUUUAUGAUUUAUUAUUUAUAGGAUUACUCUCAAGCUCAUGACUAGAGUCAUGAGUUUUGAAAGUUAUCUUGAGUUAAAAAAAUUUUAAUUUUUUAAAUUGAUUUAUUUUAAUUUUAUUAUUCAACAUUUGAUUUAUCAAAGAAUGAUAUUCAUGUUUUUUUUUUCAUUUUCAAAUUUCUUUAUACGAGGUUAUCCCAAUAUUAUGUUCAUGGUCAAAAGGUUAGUAGAUUAACAUGAGUUAACUCAGGUUUUUUUUAUAAAAAAAAAUUUACCCUUAAACAUUGAAUUAUUUAAUAAUUAAAAUUUAUAAUUUUAUUUAAUAUGCUUUCGAUUAUACUAUCCCAGUAUUAUAACCAAAUCACAGAUUUUACAUGUUAAUUAUAAUGAGCUUAAAUCAAGGUUUUUUUUAGUUUUUUUUAAAUCGUCAAAUUUUGUAUUAUUUUAUUUCUUUUUAUUGAUUUUUUAUUUAUAUUAUUUCAACUACUCGAGCUUAUUAAACACAAUCAAGUCAUUAGCUAAAGUCUCAAUUUUUUUUUUAGUAUUUUCAUUGCUUGCAUUUCCCUAACAUUCUCUCUAUAUUGAAAAAUAGUCGGCCAGCCCGCAGUCACUAUUUAGUCCAUAACUAUCCAUGGAUCCAAUUUUUGUGUUGGUGGGUCUGAAGUAAUUUUUGUAUUUUGGACUAGACCCAUUCAAAAAGUAACAAAAACUUGGCCCAAGUUUGGUCCAUGAACAGCUAUCAUAGUUACCAAUUGAAAUUGGGUCAACUAAAUGAUUAUUACUGGGCUUUACUAUCUCUAAUGGGUGUUCUAGCAUAUUUGGGCCUCUAGCCUUUCUUGUCUCUUAGGUGCUCACCUGUACCUUGCCCCCCUCUGCUUCCUGGUGCCACUGAGAGUAUUUGUUCUAACAGAAAUCGAUUUAUGAUGGUUAAGAAUGUAUGUUUUCUAUUUUUAUUUUUUAAAUUUAACAUUUAAAAUUAUUAUUUAGAGAAUACACCAAACCGAUGCAGAGAAUAUAUUUUUAAAAUUAUUUAAAAAUGAAAUUAACUUGUGAUUAUGUGUAAAUUAGUCUGAAAAAUAGAUCAACAUAUUUUUUAAAUUAAUUUUUAACCUAAGUUUAUAUUUAAAAGGAAAAAAAUAGAGUGAUAAUCCAAUAUAUCUAAACUUGAUAGAAAAUCAAACCUAAAUAGCAUGAGUCUACUUAUUUUCAAUCCCAAUAUCCUUAGGGUUCAGCUGAACACUAAGUCUAAGCAGACAUGAGUCUAGCAAGAUAUCAUACCAAACAUUUUUAGGUUUAGUUGCGCGUUAAGCCCGAGUAAAUAUAAGUAUAGUGAAUUGCUAGACCCAACAUCCUUGAGUUCAACUAUAUGUUAAGUCUAAACAAACAUGAGUUUAAUGAGCUGUUAGACCCAAUAUCCAUGGGUUUAGCUGUGCGCUAAUUCCAAGUAUAUAUAAGUCUGACGAGUUGUCAGAUCCAACUUCCCUAGGUUUAUGUACAUGCCGAGUCUAAUUAUAUAUGGGUUUAACAAGAUGUCAUACCUAAUUUUCUUAGGUUCAGCUAUAUAUGCAUUAAGCUUAAACAAACGUGGGUCUUGCGAGUUGUCAAACCCAAUGUUUUUGGGUUCCGCUACAUACCAAGCCUAAAUAAACAUAGGUCUGGAAUGCUGCCAAACCCAAUAUUCAUGGGUUUAGCUAAGUACAGAGCCCAAACAGUUGUGAGUCUAGCGAGUUGUCAGACCCAAUAUCCCUGAGUUUAGUUAAGUGUAGAUCCCAAAUAGACAUGAGUUUAGCUAAGUGUAGAGCCCAAAUAGUCAUGAGUUUAGUGAGCUGUUAGACCUAACAUUUUUUAGUUUAGCUAUGCAUUGAGUCCAAAUAAAUUGAGUCUAGUGAGUUGUUAGACCCAAUGUCAUUGGGUUCUGUUAUGCGUUAAGCCUAGAUAGACAAGAAGGUGGCAAACUGUCAGAUUAACAUCAUUAAGUUCAAUUAUACGCCGAGCCCAAGUAGACAUGAAUUUAAUAAGCUAUGAGACCCACUGCCCAUGGGCUUUAUAUCGUAAUAAAUCCAAGUGGAUAUGGGUAUGACGACCAUUAUAUAUAGGCUCCUAGGUUGGGUCAUGAGACUUCAUUUGUUUAUUUUUAUAACUUUUAACAUAAAAUGUUAAUGACAUGAGCACUCAUCUCUGUACACUCCUAGGUGUGUAUAAAUAUCUUAUAAGGAUCUAUCAUAUUUCCAUCGUCAUUGAUAUUGUGUAAGGAAUAUUUACUCCCCAUUGAUAUGGUAUAAGAGAUAUUUAUCACUUAUUAAUGCUAACACAAGAAAAUAACUCCAAUUUCUCUAUUCUAGCAACAUGACAAGGUUUAAGGGCUUUAAAUUCCCCUUGAACCACCCAGAUAAAAGGUCCACACGUUCUAUUCUCUAAGUAUUUAUACUUUAGUUCUUAGAGUAUUUAUCAUAUAAAAACAAGAAAAAAUACUUUUGUUUUUAGAAUUUAUAGCUUAUUCUUUCAUUUAUUGUAAUCCCUUAUUAAAUAGUAACUGAAUUUAUCAUCCAAAGGUUUCUAGCAUAAGAAAAUGUUUUGCAGGUUUUGGGUUUUUUAUCAACAACCAUUACUUUCUAAGCUUAAAAAGAAAAAAGAAUAUGGACCUAAAUGCAUGAUUAUCUUCCAUCCAAGCAUUAAAUAACCUUACUUAUGAUCAUAUUGAUUUUUAGAAAAUCAUGACAUACUGAUAGAAUAAAAAGAGAAAGAAAAUGAUACACAAACACACGGGGUUCAGCUGAUGUGUUAGGUCGAACUCAAUUAGGAUGUACGUGAACAUGGAACCGCUGACUGGGAGAGAAACAGCCUUUCUUCUCAGGAGUCCUUUCUCACUGUAAUGGCAGAUAUAUAAUGCUGAAACUGAGAGGUACUUGGAUGCCAUUUUCUUUGAGUAGAUGCAUCUCCAUGGGUCUUUGUCCAAAAAUAAAUGCGUAUUGCUUAAGUUACAGCUUCCAUGAAGGCGAUUUUCAGUGUCUUCUAGUGUACCAUUGCUUUGCUGUUUUGACGUAUACACUUUUAUUUGUAUUUAGAUAACCAGAGAAAUUAAGGCAAAAUUAAUAAUUUCAUCAACUAAUUGAAAUGAGAAGGGAUCGAUUUAAAUGGCAAAAUGACAAUUACAAAAAUAAAAAUAAAAAUUGACUUGGUCAAGAUAUACGUAGUGUCAUUUUUGUUUAGAUUAGAUGAUAUUUUAGAAUCAACUUGGGCACAUGAAGGUUUGUUUUUAUCACAAAAAAUAUAUAUUUCUUGAAAGCAAAUCAUUACAGUCAUGUUUAAAGUAUAAAUAUCAGACCCAGUUUGGGAACCGUCCCAUCAAAGGGUCUUGGCCAUGAGUUAUUAGGAUUUUUUUAAAAUAAAUCUUGGAUGGUGAUUUGAGUGGGUUUCAAUUGGGUUUUUUGAUAUGAUUAGAUUUAUCAUAUUAAUAUUUUUAAAUUUAAUUUAAAACGAAUCCAGUUUUAACGGCUAUAAUUUAAAGAAUUCAUGAAAAUAUACAUUCUCAGAAAACUUGUUUAUGAACUUUUUUUCAUGACCUAGUGGCUGAAAUACGUGCUCCAGUACUCAACCAGCAACCUGGUUGAUUAAUAGAAUUCACUGAAACAGAAAGCAAGAAGUAAGGAAGGAAGCAAGUUGCAACUUAUAGCCAUGGCUAGCUUCUCCACGAUUAUGUGUCGAUCUUAUCCAACUGACUUUUCAUGUAUCCAUCUCCAUGCUAUCCAUUGAUUCACGUGGUUAUAUGCCUUCUGCUCCAAUGACAGUGGAAGUAACGUGCUCGAUAUCUUUUAAUAAUCAGCAACAAUCUUGACGGACUGUUCUCUAACUGUAAAGCUAGAGAGAGAAAAAACUUUCAGUGAUCUACAGUUCAAGGGACAAAAAGAUACACCAAAAGAAGCUUGGAAUAGCAAGGAAAGAUCUUAAGAUGGAUAAAGAAACAAAUUUUAUGUCGAGUCAUGUUUUCCAAGCAAUCUAGCUAGCUACAAGCAUAUAAAAUGUUAUUCCUGUACAGCAAAAUGAAGUUUUAGUUGGACAGAUUCUCCAAUGCUGUGAUGGAUUUAGAAUCUUUCACUAAAAAAAUUGUAAUGGUGGUGACCCGAGACACAUCAAGUACGUAUGCCUUGAUUUGAUAAAAUUACAUCGACAGAAUAGUUAUUAAACUUGACCUGAUUAAGCAUGUUGAUUAGAUGAUCUAAGUUGAAUUUUAUUUUGAACAUUGAAUUAGCUAAAUCCUGGUGACUUUGUAAUUUAACCGGGGGAGAUUUAGCCGGUUAACUGUAAGGAAUUUUUUAUAAAAAAAUUUAAAUAAUUUUUUUUUGAUAAAAUAAUUAACCCACUAAUUUAGAUUCUAAAUCAAGUGCGACAGACUGGUGUGAUCAUGAAGAUGAUAGAUGGAGUAAUAGAAUCCCUUAAGGUAUGUAUGGUGUUAUGAGUCUCAAGUCUCGCGCAAGGAACUUAGAUUAGCUUGUCAUCUCUAUUUUGCAUGCAAAAGAGAAGAAACAACGUAGGACCUCGCUCCAUUAAUGCUCUAGUUACCUGUAAUAUUUAAGGAACAAUAAUUCUUUCCGGCCGCUCAUGUUGGAAGAACUAGGUUAAUACAUGUAAAAACUUCUCGUAGACACAAAGAAACAAAUGGUAAGAGAAAAGAUUCAUCUACUCUUUCAAUGUCAUGAAAUUUAUGGAUAGAAGAAAGAUUUCUUCAACCCAUUUCUAUUUUUUUUUCUCCGGUCCAUAUUGGAAGUAAUUGAGCAUGUAUGCAAAUUAUAGCUUUUUUUUAAAAAAAAUCAAAUACUAGAUAUUUUUACUUUUAAAUAAACUUCUGCAAAACUGUAGUACGGUGUUACUUAACUAAAUAUUUUUAAAUUUGUAUUUGAUGUAAAACACUGAACACACCACAUUACAUAAACAAAUAAAGCCUAUAUAUAUAUAUUGAACUCUAGUCUCAAAGUUCCCCCACAAGUCAAUAACUAGAUCAGCUACUUGACAUGCAUCCUUCCACUCCAGCUCUGCUCUACUCUACUCUUACAGAGUAGAAUUUACAUCUCUCUUCCUCUCUUCUCUAACGUUCUUGAAACAAACAGUAGUACUUCCUACACACACACAAAGGAAAUUAAGCAUUUAUGAGCUUGAGAUCCAUCAGCAAUUAAGGAAUAGUUUCAUCCAGCUGGUUCCCAAAGGAUGCAAAGUGUUAAAGACAAAGCUCCUAAAACUGACCUCAAGGAGGCUGCUUCAUCUAAGAAAACGAUAAGCUUUUCAGGUAAUUUCAGUUUUAAUGAUCUCAAUAAAUCUGGUAAAAAUAGAGAAGAUGACAAGCUUAAACAGGCAGAGGAGUCACUGAGGACUGUGAUGUACUUGAGCUGCUGGGGUCCUAACUCCUAACUGAUGCGCAAUCCGAUUUGCGAAAGCUGGCCGAGAUGUUGCUUAGAAGCUUAUGUACACAGAGCCUGUAAUGUACAUGUAAUAUUUCUGAAGUUAACAUCUAUGGCUAUCUUUUUUUUCUGUUCCUCGUUCCUUCAAGAUCAUGUAUAUAUAAUCUAUCGAACCAGAUAAGAAAUUAUCACGGUGGGAAUUACUAAGAGGAUAAAUGGUAGCAAUGAUCAUGUGUUCAAGCAAAGAACAUGGAUUGGAGCUAUUAAGGUGCUGAUGCAAUGUGGUUCCUACAUGUUUGACAAAACUAUCUUGCUUGUAAGAUAUGCUUUGCCCUGAUGGUGACGGGGAGGCCGUAGAACUAGGAGAGGAAUAUGCUGACCAGUAACACAACAUGAUCUAUUGAUCAAAACAUCAAUCAAAAUCAACAAUUUCAAGAUAUAUAACAGUAUGGUUCAAGGAGAUAUUAUCUCUGGUAAAGACAGGCAUCAAACCAUCUUGCAUCACACAAAUAGACUUUUCAUCUAUUGGAUAAUACUAAGGUAUCGUACAGGCUUCAACUAUGAUCAACUAGAAUUCAAAAUAUUAAAGCAUUGUACAGUUAAAAAUAAUAAAAAAAAUAUUUCCAACCGCACCGCGAUACAUUACCAAGCCUAACUUUUCAUGUUUCUUUUUGCUUUUUAUCUUACAAGAAAUGUUAGAUGGGGAAUUGAUUUUUUUUUUCAACUUGAUUUUUUUUAAUUAAUUUUGAGGUGUUUUGAGCUAAUAGAUUAGUAUUUUAAGUUUAUUAUAGUAUUUGUUAGGUGUUUUUAAAUGAUAAUAAAUUAAAAAUAUCUUUUUAGCCAAAAUCACCAAUCUUGAAUUUUUUGAUCACCUCUCAGUGGUCGAGUUUUGGGCUUCCAAAUAACAUAUUAUUUAAUUAUUUUUUUAUUUUAAAAAAGCAAGGCAACAACAAUCAACCAAAAACAAUGCCAGGGUGCAGGCUUGGCCUUGCAAGCCCCUACGCCCAGUGUUUUUAUUUUAUGAGCCAAGUGCAAUAGCCCAUCAAGGACACUUGGCCUUUUUUAAGAAUAUUUUUCUAACAAUUAGGUGUAAUUUGCUUUAAAGUUGAUUAAUUAUAAAUAUAUAAGACUAUAUUUAGAUGAUAUUUUAUUUAGUAUCAUUCAAUUUUUUAUUUGUUUCUUAAUAAAAUUAUAAAUUUUUUUCAGAAACAUAGUUCCACCAUACUCCCAAACACACCUUUAAAAUCUAAAAAUCUAUUUGUUUUUGUGUUUUAAAAACAAUUAAAAAAAAUAAUUUUUAUUUUAUUUUUUUACUUCAAAUUAAUGUUUUUGGUUUUUUCAUAUCGUUUUGAUGUGUUAAUAUCAACAAUAAAUUUUAAAAAAAUAAAAAAAAAUUAUUUUAAAGCAUUUCUAAAUAAAAAAAUAUUUUAAAAAGCAAUCAAUAAUACUAAUAAUACUAAUACUGUAUGGAAUUUAAACCACACAUGCUUGACCAGAGUGUGCCACCUGUUAUUCCCAUUUUUGCCUCAUCUAUUAUAUAAUAGAGUAGCAGGCAGUUUAGAGUAAAAGGGUGUGUCCAUUAUGAGUUGCUUUACUCUAAUAGCAACAUUAUUCUGUCCAAUUUCACCAUCAAAGUGUGACCAAAACCCAUAUUUCUCCUUGUAUAAUUGGCUUGUCAAAUGGUUGUGCAUGGUCAAGAAAGUCAUUAUGCCAAAACAAGAUACACCAUAAGAUCACUACACCAACAUGCCACGAAUAACAUGAGGUCAACACCUCAGGCCAAGAAGCUUUCUUCUUCAUCUUCUUCUAUGGUUUCAAGCAAAUUGAGGAAAUCAAGCCAGUCCGAUCGAGGAGUAUCUGAGGAAAGCCACGUACUUGGGUUGUUGGGGUCCGUAUUAAUGAAUGAAGAAGUUCGACGUGAGAAGCUCAAGAGUCAUAGAGUGUGUUUGUUUUGAUAUUUUUUAUUGUUGAGAUUUGAAAAUAAUAAUCACUUUUUAGUUGUGGCUGUCUUGAAUUAAAUUAGGGGUUUGGUUAAAAAUGUUUUUGAAAAUAUUAUUUAAUAAAAAAAUAUAUUAAAAGUAUUUGGUUGAAAUUAAUAUUAUAAUUUAAAUUAAAAAAAAAUACUAAUUUUUUUUUAAUUUGCAUAGAAAUCAUAAUAUAUUAGAAUAAAAACAAUAAAAGAGAGACACUUGUUUUGUUAAGGUAAAAUUACCAUAGCAUGUGAAGAAAGGUGUUUUUUUUUUUGUUAGACUGAGCUUGUAACUCCUUUAAAGCACGUUGAUCUUGCUUUUUGUUAACAUGUGGCUGGAUUGCAAAUUUUAAUAAUCCCACAAAUACAAGCAUGUGACUCAAAUAUAACCAAACACUUUGUUUUUGUGAUCAGUCUUAAAAGCAGAAGUUACUAUAAAAUCAAAUACAUUUUUAGACUCUUAUGGAGUUGCGUUUGCACCAGAAUUAAAAAAUUUAAAUGGUGUUUUUAUGUUUUUGUAUUGUUUUUAAAAAAUUAAAAAAUAUUAUUUUAAUAUAAUUUUUUAAUAAAAAUACUUUAAAAAUUAACUAUUAUUAUACUUUCAAACACCUGAAGCUACCCAUUGAGAAGAACAAAACAUGAGGAAAUUGAUGAGUGAUGGAUGCAAGUAUCGAUGUGAACUGUAAGCUGUAAUUAUCCAACACAAGAGUUUUGUUGAACAAACAUUGUUGUCAUCACCUUCCUAUAUAUCUCUUACUAUUGGUGUUGUUCUUUUUAAUUUAUCUCCCUUGCAAUCUUGCUCGGCUUUUUAUCAUUUUGCUGUGAAAGAAGAUGGCCAAUUUAGGCCAUCAUCCUUGUAUUUGCUCUCCUACUCAAGCACAGGUGAACAUGCAGAAGCUUAAAAUCACAGAACACGACAUGGAUUUAAGUUCUUAACAUACCUUGAUAAAUCAAGGUUGAUGCUUUAGCAUUUCAAGCAACUGGAGAUUAUUUAUAUGAUGAUAAAUCAUGUUUGCAUUAUAGCAUCCCACGAGUACAAAUUCCAAAUUGUAUACAAUAUUACAAGAAGAAUCGAGACGUCUUAUCCCAUAAAAAAAUACCGUUGGCCUUUGCUGGUUUCCUCACUCAAUAUACCGUUGGCCUGUUCACUCAAAAUAUGCUUUUGGUUUUUCUCAGGGUUUUUCCUAAACUUCUGGUGCUCUCACCUGUACAAAGUAAAAACUCCUCCUUGCCAUUUACUUCAUCGAAAAUGGAAAGCGAUAUCUUACUCUGUACAAUAUCCCCACAUCAAAAGAGUUUCCAGCUAGUUGUUCUGCAUUACAUACCAGGUAAAAAACGAGCUCUGCAAGUAAAGCUUGGAUGGUAGCAGCUGCUCUUGGAGGCGUGGAGGCUUCUGCUGGUGCAACUGCACAUUGAGAACACUACACCAACGCUUUCUUCUUCAACUUUUGCAAUGAUUUCAAGCAAGGUCAAGGAGGAGAAGGGAAAACAGCCAGAGGAGUCUCUAAGAAAAGUCAUGUAUCUCUGAUUGUUGCAGUUGAUGUAAAUUGCCAAUUUUCCGGUCAAUUCAUAUGGUUUUCGGUUUUCCCAUUUGUUUUGGUAGUACCACUUUCUUUAAAAAAAAAAAAAAAAUCUGAUAAGUAUAUAAAUAAAUAAGCUUCACAAAUUAGAAAUCUUGAGGUUGAGGGGGCAAUAUUUGCUGAAGGUAAUUGGAUCAGUUGGCAUUGGAUAACGUGUGUCGUCCUUUUCCAUGAGCAGAGAACUUGUUUUUUUUUUUUUUUUUGGUGACACACUGACACAUGCAAUGAAUCCUAUCAUGUUUUUCAGCAAGGACUCCUGUAUUUUCCCAGGUUUGAGUAGAGGCCAAGACAAAUGCUAAAACUCUAUCCUUUUGGCUCCAUUCUUGAAGAAAAAACUAGUGGAUUUGCCUCCUAUACUUGAGGCUCAAUUUGGAUUUUUGUAAAGCAAAACCGUGUGCCUUUCACUAAACAAGUCACACUCUAGCUUUGUCUUGAUCGAACAUGCUAAAACGUAAAAAUUUCCCAUCUUUUUCUCCUUUGUAUUUUAGGCAACCAAGUGGUCAAUCCUGUACAUUAAAUUCAUCUUAUCCUGUCACUCAUUUGCUUUCGUUUAAGCCAAAACCACCUGCUACAGCUUGUGGCUAGCUUCUGAUUUUCCUCCGAACUUCUGGCCCCCUUUUCUUGCACCUACCUACCUCCUCUCUAUAUAAGCAAAAGCAACCAGCUUGCCAUUUCCACCGUCAAACUCAAAUCCUCAAUUACAUCUCAAAUUUUUUCUAAAAAUUGUCCAUUUCAAAUCCUUGAUGUUCUAGUACUAAGAAGGAAAUAGAGAAAUGAGUUCAGCAAGCAAAGCUUGGGCUGUAGCAACUAGUAUCGCAGCUGUCGAAGCCUUGAAAGAUCAAGAUUCUGUAGAUGGAACUACACAAUAAGAUCAUUACAUCAACAUGCCAAGAACCAAGUCAGGUCAUUCUCUCUGGCCAAGAAACUCUCUUCUUCAAACUUCUACGGCGGUUCCAGGUAAACUGAGAGAAAAUCAGAAAUCAAAGCAGUCAGAGGAGUCACUGAGAAAAGUCAUGUACUUAUGUUCUUGGGGUCCUUACUAGUCUCUAAACUAAUAGCAGAGGAACUACAUUCAUGCAUGGUCUGGUGGCAGCAUAGAGACAAUCUACAGUUUUCAGACUUUUUUGAAGAAACAUGACAAGGCCGGGGCCGGCCACCUUCUUAUUCAGCUCCAUCGGAUUAUGCUCUAGCAAUUUAUGUUUCGAUCAAUGUUGAGAGUGAAUUCCUGAAUGAUGGGGAAAAAAUAGUGUAAAUUGUAAAUUUUGGUCCCAAUUUACUGAAUAUCAAACCAUAUUAUUUUUGGAUAAAUUUUGUUUACAGUACCAUUUAUUUUUCAAUUUCUGUUCUCCCAUUUCUUAAUUUUGGGAGUUCUUGAUUUCAUUUCUUUUUUAAUAGGAAGCUGUCCCUUUGAUUAGUGCAUUAAAAUAUAAUUUCCGCGAGUAAAUUUUUAGAAUGAAACAGCUUUUAAAAUUAUUGCAGGAUGUUGAAUUAAUAAGCUGACCUGAUUGGAUUAAAAUCUUAUCCUCUCCUUUUUAGCCAAUAGGGAUUAGUUUCUUCAAUGUAAAAACUUCUGUACCUUUAAGAAACUUGAAACUUUAUGUAGGUGUGCUUGUAGAAUAAUUCUGGGAGGAAUUUAUCUUUAAUUUAUAUCUAAAUUAACUCAAAUGCACAAUAUUUACUAUCGAAUUUAGAAAAGAAAAAGACUCUGUAAAAUGAAUUUAUAAGUUCUAACUAAAUUUUGGGGUGAUUAUUGUUUCUUAAAAUAAGAGAAUCCAUUUGUUUUAUACUCACAGUUUAUGACGUUUCUUUGUCAAUACUGGAUAAUUAUACUAAUACUACACCAACUUCUUAUCCCUUUUCAAUCGAGUAUAUGAAUUUUAAUUUUUUUUUUAAGUACACCGAUGGUCUUAAAACUCUCAAUUAAUUAAGUAUUAUCUUAAAUAUCUUAUCCAUUGCUAUUUUUACUAAUGAUGUACUUAAAAUACUUGAUUGGAUUAAUUAAAAAAAUUGGUGCACCAAAAUAAAAAUAAAAUAAAAUUGAUAUACUUGAAUGAAAAAAAAAAGCUGAUGGACUAAUUUUCUUUAAUAUGGUCUAAAGACAUGUCAUUAGAUAGCGGAGUGAUGGAUCAUGAUUUAUCAAUAGUUUUCAAAAUAAAUUUUUUAUUAAAUUAUAACUAAAUUUAACAUGUUUAAAACUUUGAAGGCACAAAAAAUCAUGGGACCAAACAAUGAAAAAGAAUAUUUUGGAUUUUUCAUGAUUUUUUACCAACCCAUAUAUAUUUUGGAUUCAACUUUCUAGAUGUAUAAAAAUCUUUCAUGACUUAUCAACUUUUCAUUUCAUUAAUAUUUAUGUAAUAAAUAUUUACUCAUCAUUAAUGUUAUUAGGACAAAAUUACUCUUUAACCCCUCCACUCAAAUAAAAAAAUAAGAUUCAUAAGCCAUAAAUAUUCCAUGCAUGCAUGAAUCAUUUAAAAAAAUCACAAUAUUUUCAUUCUCUAUAUAUUUGCAUACAAGUUUUUAGAAUCUUUUUAAAAUAUCAUUAUAUUCUUUUUUUAUACAAAUAUAUUUAAGUAUAUGAGAGUCCCCAUAUCUAUUAAAAAUGAUAUUUUAUAAGUACUUGAUUUCUCAUGUUAAACUAUUAUCCUUGGCUAAAAAAAAUAAAUUAGAUUGUAAAAAUUAAAAAAAUUAAUCUAUUAUUCAAUCACUUAUAUUUUAUUUCUAAAUAUCUUGAAUUUUAAAAUAUCAUCACAGAUUUAAUAGAAUGAAACUUGGAUGAAAGUACUUAGACAAAACAUUCAAAACAUUCAAUGUACUCAAACAAACAAACUUAAAAUCUAUAUACUUAAUUGACAAAAUUUGUAAAAUUGAUGUACUAAUAAUUAAAUUAUUUCUAACAACAUUAUGCAUGAGUGUAGACAAUGUUUCUAUACCGUGCGAGCCCCUUGAAACUUCAGAAUUUUUUUAUAAUUAAUAUUAUGAUUAUGUGAAACGUGCUGCGUAUCAACGAUCAUUGUUUUCAAAAAGUAGUGCUGUGUGUUUCCUGGUUUUGCGUAGACGCCUUUGCAAAUGCUAAAGUUAUAUCCUCCAAGCCCCAUUAUUGAAGAAAAACAACUAGUUUUUCCCAGUGGCAGCCUGGCUCACUUGCCUCUGGACCCAUUCUAGUUAUUGUUAAUCAUUUUUAUUUGGUAUUAUUGGACUUAUCUGGACGAGAAAUAUUAGAGGCAUCGUUUUCAAAGUUUCAAUGUCUUAUUCAUUAAUUUAUUUCAUUUUCUUCUCUUUCGUUCCAACAGUACAAUCAUUUGUGUGGACGAGAAAUGUUAGUUUUCCAAUUUUCUUUAAAAAAAAAAAAACUCGUAUUUUUCCUGGUUUUGAGCAUAUGCUUUGGCAAAUGCUAGAAUUAUAUCCUUCAAGCCUCGUUGUUGAAGAAAAACAAGUAGAUUAACCUCCUAUACAUUGGUUUAAUUUGGAUUUUUAAUUAUCAAAUUAUCUCAAUUUAAAAAUUUAAAUUAUCAAAACUCAAGAUAUAAUUUAUAUUAUUUUUUAAUAUACUUUUUCAAAUAAAAACUCUUUUUAAACUUGAAAUUUACACUCAACUAUGCUACUAAUUAGAUAAUAUUUUAAAAUACAACCAAAGCUUGGGCCGUAGCAACCAGUAUUGCUGCCGUGGAGGCCUCGAAACACCAGGGAUUCUGUAGAUGGAACUGCAGAAUAAGAUCAUUACAAUAUCGACACGCCAAGAACAAAGUCUGGAAAUCCUCUCAUUCGAAGAGGCUGUCUUCCCCUACUUCUACUGUGGUUAAUUCCAAGUAAAGCAAGAGAACGUCAGAAAACAAAGCAAUCAGAGGAGUCAAUGAGGAAAGUCAUGUACUUCUGUUCUUGGGUUCCUUGCUACGUUGUUAAACUACUAGCAAAGAGACAAUCCAAGAGUUUACAAGAGACUUGUUUGGACAGACAUGAUAAGAACAACUGCAGAGAUGGAACACAAUGGAUGAAGGAUGUAUAUUACACUAAAUUUGAUGAUAUAAUGAUUGAUAUAGAUCAUAAUCAUGUAAAUGAAAAUAAAAAUAAAGGGAUUUCCAUGAUUCUUAGCUUAAGGAAAAUAAAAAUAAAGGGAUAUCCAUGAUUCUUAGCUUAAAUAUAAGCCAUCAAAUUUUCAAAAAACCAGUUUAAUUAAUUAAUAAAAAGAAACUUAAAUUAUUAAAUAAAAUUUUAAGAUAUUAUCUAUAUUAUUUUAUAAAAAAUAUCUUUAAAUGAAAAUAUUAUGGAAAUAAAACUUGUAUAAACCUAUCAUGAGUUAGUGUUUAAUUUUUUUUUUAAUUAAUUAAAAUAUAUAUAAUUAAAUUUAAAUUCAUAAUACUGUUUAUUUAUUAAAAUUAUGAUAUCAUAUAAAAAAAUUAUUUUAAUAAAAAAAAAACUCAAACUAUUAAAUAAUAAAAUGUUAAAGUAUAAUUUAUAUCAUAUUGUCAAACAAAAUCAUCAAUUGUCAUGGAGAGCUGAGAAUUUGGUUUUGGUGACACAAGAAUGUAUGGUAGUCGUCAUCAACUAUGAUUCCAGGUGGAGACAUGGCCAAAUACUCCCAUCCCAUCAUGCUUCCACCCUCUCUCUGUUGAACGGAAACAACUGGACUUGAUUCCCUUUCUUCAGACUCGAUUGGAUUUUUAUAUAAAAACUUUGUGCCCAUCACUAGCAAGAAGUCACAUUCUAGCCUAGGUACGGUGGAGACGCCAUUUUCUCCCACCUGUUGUUUUUGACGUUAACAAAUCCUAUCCUAUCACGAUCCCACUGGUAAAAAAAACAAAAGAAAAUUACAUCUCAUUGGCUUACAGUAGUUUGCCAAAACCAGCAGCAGCUUCGAUCUCAUAGUCGGUAGCCUCUGCUUUCUUCCCAAACCUCUGUCCACUUUUUAUGUACUCUCUAUAUAAGCAGGCCCCUGCUUACAAUUUACACCAUCAAAACAUUGCAAAUCCUCACCUAAUAUCUCAUCUUCCUCAGCUACGAGAUUGUCCGAUUCUUUUUAUACAAAGAAGAAAAUAGAAAAUGAGCUCAACAGCCAAAGCUUGGGCUGUAGCCACCAGUAUUGCAGCCGUGGAAGCCUUGAAAGAUCAAGGAUUUUGCGGGUGGAACUACACAAUAAGAUCAUUACACCAACAUGCCAAGAACCAGGUCAGGUCAACAUCUAAGACAAGGAAGCUGUCUUCUCCUCCCUCUGCUGUGGUUUCAAUUAAAGUACGAGAAAAUCAUAAAGCAAAGGAAUCAGAGGAGUCGAUGAGGAAAGUCAUGUACUUAAGUUCUUGGGGUCCAUACUAGUAUCUAAACUACUAGCAGAGGAGCUAUAUGCAUGCAUAGACUCGUGUCUCUAUAUAUAGAGACAAUCAAGGAGGGAGUGAGUUUCUAAAUUAGGGUUUGGUAAACUAUAUGAAGAUAAAAAAGAUGUAAAUAGUGAGAAUAGAGAGGAUAUAUGUUUAAUUUCUUAUCUUUUAUGUUUUGAAAAAUUACAAAUUUUUCUUCUUUUUGUUUUGUUUUAGAAUACUAAUCAAAAUGAAAUUUAAGAGACGUACACUUGUUAGGAGUUAGGACAAAACCAUGAAAAUACCAACUGCUUAUAGAGAUUAAACCCAUCAACAAUCAUGGUCAGCUCAAUCAGCUUCUGCUACAGCAAUGUUUGUGUUUCAAUGGGAUAUUGUUGAAUGAAUCGCUAAAUGAUCAUGGGAGGAUAUUUUUGACUAUGUAGUAUCUUAUAUAUUAAAACUUAAGAUAGAUUAUAAAAACCCAUAUUUUGUUUAUAAUUUUUAUAGAUUACCUUUUAUUAUAAAUAUCAAUAAUAUCCUUUUAUGGCUAAGGUUAGUUAAUAAGUUUUAAAUAGGAUAUUCAAAAUAAAAUAAGAGAUAAAUUAUUUGUUGAGAAGACUGAAUUAACUAUAACGUGUUAAAAUCAUAUAACCAACAGUUUUAAAGAAGGAAAUGGUAUUUUUUUAAUUUUGCAUUUAAUAUCACAUCAUUAGCUAAAAAAAUUAAACUUCAUAAAAAAAACUAUAACAUUCUAUUUGGAACAAAAUCACAUGCUAAAUUGAAUUAAUUUAUAAGCAAAUAUAACUUAUUACAAUUUUAGAAUAAAUAUAAAAUCAUAUAAUUCAAUCUAAUUAUAUUGUUUAUAAUACAUGUGGAAACACAUAAAUUGAAUUCACAAUUUUGCUAUUAAUUUAGAAAUCAUUCUUGUUACAUGAAUUAUUUCUUUUUGAUACAAUUAUCCUUAUGUUUAUUUAAAUGAUAUAAAAUAUAGAUAUUUUCUAAGUAUUGUCUUACUGUCUCUCUGGAGCUUUUCUUAGUGUUUUAAUUAAGCUCGUAAAACAUUGAUUAUAGAGAGAGGUCCCCGUUCAGCUAAUCGUUUUCCAAAUUGUGCUGUAAAGCUUUGGAAACUUGACAAGACAGAGGAUGCAUGGAGACGUAGCCCCAAAAGUUAAGACAGAACUCUCACUCUGAUGAGAAGUUAUGUCUUCCUCCUCCAUCCUCUAACAACCUCUAGCAAUGAUCAGGAUACUCUUCCGGUAAAAGAAAACAAAAACACUCCCGAUGGAUUUGUUGAUCAAUUGAAUUCUUUCAAACACAAAAAUUGAUUUAUAAAUACUAUAAAGCAAUUAUAUUUUAUAAAUAUUUAUUCUUCACACAAAUUCAUUUAAUUUAGCUCUAGAAAUAAGUGCAUGUAAUGUUCCGAUAACCACAUGAAUCAUGGGAGGAGGCUCCGGCUAAUCUCUUACAAAAAAAGUUGUUUUUCAAGGAAUUUCUUUCUAGUUUCAAUGUGAAUUGUUUGUGACCAAACAACAAUUAAUAGACUCAACAAAAGUUACCUGAGUUAUUUUACCAAAAAAAAGGUAAUUUUUAAGGAAUUUCUUUCUAGUUUCAAUGUGAAUUGUUUCUUUUACCAAUCUCUUGAUAUAAGUUACAAGUUGGAGAUCCAAAACAAUGUUGGUUUUUUUUAAAAAAAAAAUUUGAAAUAAUUUGAUUUAAAUUUUUUUUUAAAAUAAUCAAAUUAAAUUUUAAUGAUAUUCAUCUAAAUUUGAUAAGUCCAAGCAAAGUUCUAGAUCACUCAGGUUUUGUAUUGAUCUACCAUGCAGGUGUUAAAUUAACACUACACUCGAUUACACAAACUAUCUUGUAGAUGACACUCGAUGUAACAUCCAAAAAACAAAUUACUCAUGAAUUUUUUAAAACAACGGGCCUGAAUUUUUCAGUUACAUUGAGUCUUUUAACAUGUCCACUUUGUGGAUGCCUGGAAAUAUCCAUGAAAAGGAAACAACUAUCGCUUUCUCCCUCAAUUCUAGGCUGAAGAGAAACAAAAAGUGCCGCUGGUAAGAAUCAAAGGCUUAGAUUUGGCAAAAACCAUAAGCUAAUUUGUAACUGCUUUCAUCUUUUUUAAUUAUCUCUGUAUAAUUAGCCCAUCUACGAUUUGCUACUCCUUGCAUCAUCUACAUAGCAUAUUGUUGUACAAUGAGUUGGAAGAGCAAAGUUUGGACAGUUGUAGGCAGUGUAGCAGCUGUGGAGGAAUUGAAGGAUAAGAACAUGGCCUCCUCCUCCUCCUCCUCCUCCUCGAAGCCUGCUCAAGUAGGACGAGAAGCGGCAGCAGCACCACCACCACCAGCAACUACAACUUCAAAUUUUGCACCGCAGAGGGAAUGCAAAGAGAAAAGGGUAAAUCAAUCAGAAGAAUCACUUAGAACUGUUAUGUACUUAGUUGUUGGGGUCCCAAUUAAACUAAAAGUAAGCAGAAAAACACAACACUUUGUAAUCAGCUUGCUGAUGCAAGCAUGUGUAUAUUUAUGCCAGAGUAAAUGAUCACAUGUGCCUUGCUAUUUCAAUGUCAAUGCAGAAAACCAUGUGCAUCUUCUUUACUCUUUUUCUACACACUUUCCAUCAGAUGCAUAAACUGGACAUGUGGUGGCUUCAUCAUCAUAGGGAGUGGGUGGGGGAGGUGAGUGGUUCCUCCAUGGCAUGGCAAGGCUAUAUACUAACCAUCAAAUUCACAACCAUACACGAUGAAAGCCAACCUUGAUUUUCUCCUAAUCUCGCCGGAAAAACUCCAUAAAAAGUGAGAAGAGAUACGAAUUAGUUUUGUCAAACCCUAGUCAUGAACACCGAGAAUUGAAUAUUUAUUUAUCCUUAUUUGUUAAAAAAGAAUUUCUUGAUAUAUAGGAAAUAAGGGAUAUCACAAUGGGAUUAGUUGUAAAAUAAGAAAUAUUAUAUAUGCUUCUUUUUGUAUAGUUUUAUAUAUCAUGUGUAAUAAAUGACACCAUAAUAUAUGUAUAAUGCGAUACUUAUGUAAAUAAUAGAGCACUUACUAAAUUAUUAUAAAUCUCUGCUUUAACUCACACAUGGAUAACACUUCACCCUUAAUGUGGAACAAAAGUACUAACAUAGAUUUUGUUUUAAACUAAUUAUUAUUUUUCUUAUGCAUUCAAGAUGAUUUUAUACAGCUUUGCAAACACUAAUAAACUAAAUUUUAUCUUAAUCCAAUUAAGAAGAAAAUCAACAAUCUUAAUAUUGCAGAGUUCUAAUAUUGUUAUUAUAACUCUCACAAAUUCUACAUUUUGCGAUCCAUAAUUUCCUAAUUUGACAUUGAAUUCUAACAUUUAAGACUUGAAUUUGAUUAUAUAUAUGAAACUCAAACUCAAUAUUAAAUAGAUAUGGAUAAUGAUAAAUUGAUUGCCUUGAAUGAAAGCUCUGCCUGUCACUUGUAAGUGAUAAUGAACUCCAAUAAUCUUCAUCUAAAAUUUCAUUUUCCAUUAAUUGUCAAUUAGUGCUUUGUGGAUUUUAUCAUGAGUGUUAUAAUUAGUCCAAUGGGAAGAUCCUGGGGAAUCCAUCCUUCAUUAUUGUUGACCAUGUCAAAAGAUUUUUAAAAGUAAAGUGACUUUGUACAAAGGUUGUGUGAUUAUAAGCUAGCAGCUGGUCCUCUGGUGCCAAAUGCUUCUGGUUGGUUAAAUCAUUGCCUGCAAAAUAUUUUGAAUGAAGCACCGCGAAGGAAUUAUGGAAGAGAUGCUUUUUCUUGCAAGAGUGCCACAUGGGAGCAUCAGUGUGUUAUUUUAAUGUUUCCACGAUAUCAUGUUUCCCACAUCAUAGCAAAUCAUGAUGUUUUAGAUGCUAUCUUCAAGCUUAGUGUCCUAGUCCUUUAUCCAUUCUUUUUAGUGUAUCUUUUUUAGUAUUAUUUAAUUCAUAUUUUAAAAUAUUAUUUUUUAUAUUGGUUUAUCAAAAUUAUAAAAAAAUAUUAAAAAACAUCAAUUUAAUAUUUUUUAGAUAAAAAAAAACUUAAAAAUAGAAUUACAAAAACAGAUAUUCCUUAAGAUAAAGAGCAAAAGCAGGUUUAUUCUUGAGGGGGGGAAAAUUAAAGAGUGCGUCAAUUUUGAAGCAAAAUGACAUCCAAGCUGGUUCGUCCAAGCAAAAGUGAAUUUUUUUUAUUCUUUAUUCAGACAAUAAAUCUUACUUAGAAAGGAACAAUUAUAGAUUUUUUUUCACAAUAAAAGACUUUUCAAAACAUUAACUACACAUAUAAUGCUAGGGAUACUAUUUUUUUUAUUAAAUAAAUAACGUGAUAUUUAUUACAAUAUAAGAAUUUAAAAUUUUAUUAAUGAGAUAAUUAUAAUUAUGAAACUGAAUGAUUGAUAAAACUCUAAAUGCAUGAUGCCACUUUAUUUAUUAAUUUUUUUAAUUUGAUCUCUUUACAUUAAGUUUUUUUUCUUAAAUUGGACAUAAUAUAUUUUUGGUUGCCUAAAUGUGAGGAUUUCACAAUGUUGAAAAAAAAAUUAUAACAUAUGUUUGAUCCUCCGUUUUGCAAAAUAAAAUACAAUUAUAUUAAUCUAAAACAUUUAAGGCUUAAGAUUCAAAUUUGAAAAAAAUACAAAGCCAAAGAAAAAAUCAAGAUACUAAAAAUGAAAGGUAGGGAAACUUGGUUGGUGUGUUGAAAAAAAAAAAGAUUGAGCAACUAAAAAUGAAAGGUAGGGAAACUUGGUUGGUGUGUGCACAAGCACCACCAUGUGGGAAGAGGUUGCACGUGCAUCAUCUUACAUUGCACCAUGCUGCCUUGCACGGUUGCUUCAUAACCAUCUCGACGAGAUUUGUCCGGUGGUAGGGUCUGUAUACAUGGAGGAGUGACAAUGAGCCGUUGACAACCAUUUCUUUCUUCUCAUCCCUAUUUUAACUUUUGGAAUUUGAGUUGGUUUAUCAAAGUUGAAAGUUAUUAUAUCAUUUUAUUUUUGUAUCAAAUUUUUUUUUUUAUUAUUGUUGGUUUUGUUUUGAUUUCUUUUAAUUGAUUUUUUUUUUAAUUUUGUUUCAUUUUAUUUUAUUUUAUAUUAAAUUUGGGAUUCAUUAUUUUUAUUAAUGUUUGUUUUGUUUUGAAUCCUUUUCUUAAUUGAGUUAUUUUUUUUAUUUCAUCUCACAUUUAGUUUAUUUUUAUAUCAAAUUUGAUUUUUUUUUAUUAUUAUUUAUUUUGUAUUGAAUCAUUUUUAAUUGAUUUGUUUUUCAAUUUCAUCCAUGAGUAUUUAGUUGGUUAAGAUUUGACUUUGUGGUUUUUUCGAUUUGCUUUCUAUUAGAUAAUUUCGGUCUGACCCGAGUCAUGAGUUUGAAAGAUUAGCUUGAGCGAACUUUAUUCCUUUUUAGAAUUGAUUUUUUAAAGAAAUUUCAUUAUUUGACAUUUGGUUGGUUGGAGAUUAGACUUUGUUAAAUUUUUUUAAUUUUCUCUUUAUAAAGUUAUCUUGAUCUCAUGUUUUGGGUCAUGAACUUGGUUAGUUAACAUAAGUUGACUUGAUUUUUUUUUUUAGUUGUGUUUUUUUUUUUAAGUUUUGCCUUUCAAUACUAGAUUAGUUAGAAAAUUGAAUUUCAUAAUUUUAUUUAGUUCACUUUCUACGAGGUUAUCUCGGUCUAACGACUAGAUCGUGGAUUUGGUUGUCUGAUUCGGGUGGACUUGAGUCCUUUUUUUGUCAUUUUAAUUUUUUUAAAUUUUAUCCUUCAAUAUUCAAUUUAUUAUGAAUUGAGCUUUAAUUUUUAAUUUUUUUACUUUUCAUGAAUUUAUCUCAUUUAAUUUUUUUAUUUAUUAUCAAAUAAAAUUGUGGAUAUCUUUCUUUUUUUAAAAAAAAUGAGGGUGUCUUUCAAUAAUAUUGUUAUUGGCAUGCAUGCAUAUAUUGCAACUGAUCAUUGUAAUUUAUUUAUUUUUUCGAGUUCGGUGGUUUAUUUAAUGUCAUUGAUGUUUUUUUUAAAACGACGCUGUAUGUAUCUAAAUAAUAGAUACUUUACAGAAAAGUAGGUAGAAAACACCCCCACUAUCAUGGCUACCACCAAAAAAAGGCAAAAACGAACACGCCAAGGAGUGAAAAAGCCCGGGAAUCUAUGCAGACCGGACCUCAAAUAGACCAAUCAAAUUCACCAAAUUCCCAUUAGGCAUUACCUUACAGCAGAAACUACACAGUUUAUGCACAUUUUUAUGGUAUAGUAUUAUUACAAUAGGGAGAUACAUAGCUUUCAUCAACAGAAACAAAGACAACACAACAGCAACAUUAUCAUAGUAAAAACAGAAAAUAAAUCAAAAGCACGAAGCCCCAGUAAAGAAAACUAUACAAGUUUUCCAUCUUUUAAAGCAGAGAGUGAAAGGAGCCUCUGGAGUCUUUGCAAGAUGCCAUUUUGGCAAACAAGCAAUGGCAAUGGCAAUGCCGCUUCUUCUUCUACCACUACCACUUCUUCAUCUUCAACAUCUUCAAGUUCCAUGAGUAGUAAUAACAGUAAUGGCAAUAAUGGUUGUCAACAGAACCAAAGUAACCAGCUUGGAGAGACAAGAUCGAGUCUUUAUUAUUCGACUAAUGCAAUAUCGUUUGUUACUAAGUCUUUGUUGCCUACUAGAAGAAGACUCAGGCUUGAUCCUCCUAACAAGCUCUUCUUUCCUUGUAAGAAUUAAGGUUUUGUGGUUCUUUGUUGUUGAAAAUCUUUGGCCAUGUUCUUUUUGUUUUGAUUGUGUAUGCAUAGCUUGUACUGUUUUCGUUUUUUUUUUUACUUUUCGUGAUCUGGGUUUCUUUAUUUUUAUAUGAAGAAAUGACCUUCGAUUUGUUGAUAUCAUAAAUUACACAGAUUAGAUUGUCCUCUGCAGAUUUUUCUUGAUAUGAACUGUGUUUAGUAGAUUCAGUUGCUGUCGGUGCUGAUCUGGGGUUUUCUUAGUUUAAUGAAGGGAAGUGAGAUUCUUGAGAAUGGUAAUGUCUAGCCCUUAAGAAAACAGAUUGAUUGUUCUUUGUUGGUCAAAAUCAAACAAGUUAAAGAAACCUAAUUGGGUUUGCUCAUUGUAUAUCGACUGCAAUUCAUCCAGCUGCUCUUUUUUAAUGUACUUAUAGCUGAGGAACCUGAUUGUUUGAUUAGUUUGCAGAUUUGAAGCUAUCAUUAUGCAGAUGAACUCAGUUGUUUAAUGAUUUGUCCCUCUGUUCUUUCUGGGGUUUACUUUGUGUUUGAAACAUUGGAAAUAUGGUAGUGAACUAGAUUUGUGUUUUCUUGGUACUUAAUUUGUUACAAUAUUAUUGUGCUGAAGAUGAACCAGGUAAACAGGUUAGGAGUGCAAUUGGCAUCAAGAACACUUGCAAGUAUCAUGUAGCUUUCAAGGUAUGGAGCGUCUCUCGACUCCUUUUCUUUGAUCAAUGAUUUUGAUGUCAAUCAAUUUUGGGAAUAAUUAAUGAUUUGAUGGCUGUUGUAGUUCCAAACGACUGCACCAAAGAGCUGUUACAUGCGUCCUCCCGGUGCUAUACUUGCUCCUGGAGAAAGUCUUACCGCAACUGGUAAUCAGAAUCUCCUGCUUCACCACUCUAGAUUACUGUCCCCAUUAAAGUGAUAAGGGACUGUAAGCUGUAAACAUGUUGGUUUUAGGGUAUUCUUCUUCUGACUCAUUACUUGUCCAACAGUAUUCAAGUUUGUGGAACCUCCAGAAAACAAUGAGAGACAAUUGGAUCAGAAGAGUAGGGUUAAGUUCAAGAUCAUGAGCUUGAAAGUGAAAGGAGAAAUGGAAUAUGUUCCUGAGAUGGUAUAUUGCCUGAACCCCUAAUGUGAUUCUUAUUCGGGAUUCUACAUUAAGCUCAUGGCAACAUGAUUUUAUGAACAUCUUCCUUGAUUUUGCUGAUAAAACUAUUGUUUUUAUUCAGUUUGACGAACAGAAGGAUCAAGUAGCAGUUGAACAAAUUCUGCGAGUAAUUUUUCUUGAUCCAGAAUGCCCUAGCCCUGUAAGUAAAUACAAAUAUCUCUAUUAAGUCCUCUGCCUGCAUUUGAAAACGAAAUAUAAAGACCAGAAAAGGCUUUCUCAAUCCUUGAGGGAAUUCUGUUUUAUCUCUGUCAAGGCACUGGAAAAACUUAAAAGACAACUGGCUGAGGCUGAAGCUGAGCUUGAGACACGCAAGAAGCCUCCAGAAGACGCCGGUCCCCGAGUCGUCAACGAAGGACUUGUUAUAGAUGAGUGGGUAAGGUCUUGAACAUUUGGUGUGUAAUUUCUUCUUAUCACAUUGUGGCCUAUAAUCUUUCCUGACACUAAUUUCUCUGAUACAUUUCAGAAAGAGCGGAGGGAAAGAUACCUGGCACGCCAGCAGGUUGAAGUUGAUUCUGUGUGAAAGUUCUGUUUCCUUUUCUUGCAAUGUUUUUUCCUUGAGCUGAGGUUUCCUUCAUACAAUGUUGAAUGCUUUGUCCCUUUGUCCAUUGGCGGAGGAGGAUGUGUGAUCUGUUCUUUUAGGAAUGUAGACAUAAAAAUUUGUGAAGCAGGAUUUAUCAAGGGAAAAAGGCAUUUUGUUAUGCCAUACUAAGCUGUAUUUGGUUUAAGGCACCUAAUACUGCACUUGUGCCUGUUUAUUGUAGAUAUGGGAUUUUGAUUAACAUUGAAUUAUUUAAUUCUCUGUUAGCAAUUCAUGUGUUUUUUUAAUCAAUAUUGCAUGUUGUAGCAGGGUUUUUGCAAUUGCUUGCGCACAAGCCUAAUAACAAAACUUGAUUAAUCCGGUUAAAAAUCUAGAUUAAUCUGACCUAUUGAUCAAAUCUGGUUAAUUGUUUUUUAAAAAUUAAAAUAAUUUUAUUUUUUCAUGACUCGUUCUUGUCCCAGAUUCAUAUUCAAGUGCAGAACUGCAGGAUGCAACAUGGUUUGCAAUUUUUCCUGUGUAGAAUUCAAGAAUAAAGCACCAUGUCUAGAUUUCUCGUAUUUGCACACUUUUCUGAUUGGAUUGAAGAAUAUUUGAACUUUAUAAUCAUUAGUGCUCAUGUAAAGUAUUUACAGUUCUGGCAUGUAAAGCAUCAAAUCUUUGUUUUAUUAUCUUGAUGAUCCUCUAGGUAGUGUCUUUCUUCCAUCGAUAAUAUACCAAUUAACUAUGAACUAAAAGAGAACGGUUUUACUGUACAUCUAGCUUUUUGUCCUUAUUUUUCUCUUUUGUUAUUUGUUUUUUAAUUUUAUUUUUUAAUAUUAAAUUUUAUUUUUUUUGAGUUAUCAUAACACGAAUGAUAAGUUUGUCAAGUUAGAUUCAAGUUUUUUUUUAAUUUUAUUAUUUAAUAUUAAUUAAUUGAAAAUUAGAUCUCAUAAUUUAUUUUAUUUACUUUUUUAUUUAACCUCAUGACCCAGGUAUACUGCAUAACAAGUUAACUCGAGUUGUUUUUUGUGUUAUUUUUUUAAUUGUAUUUUUUUAUUUCAUCAUUCAAUAAUCUCAAUUAAAUCAAGGUUUUUUUUUUUUUGUUUAAGAGGUUAUCUCAAUCUUGGAUCACAUGUUUUUCAAUAUUAGAUUUGAUUUUUAUUGGAUUAUCCUAUCUUAUUACUUGGAUCGUGAGUUUAGCAGUUUAACCCAAUUAACUCAAUUUUUUUUUUAUUAAUUAAUUUUUUUUAAUUUUAUCAUUUAAUAUUAUAUUUAAUUAAAAAUUAAAUUUCAUGAUUUUUUUUUUUUAGAUUAUCUCAAUCACCUAUCAAUUAUCUAGUCUAAUGUAAAAUUGUCUCUCUUCAACCUAUAAUUUUUGUCUCUUCUAUAUUGAUAUGUACUAAAACAUUAACUAUGUAUAUUUUAUUUUAAAACACUAAUCAUACACGUAGCUUGGAAGUGACCACGGAUAUGUGCUCACCUUGACCGGCACUCGACCCUUUAGCCUAAAGUCUAAAUUAAAACAGGUUGAAAACUACUUAUCGGUGUUAUUUGUGCUUUUUUUUAAUGGAUUGAGGACCUGAUAGAGGCAAAUUUGCUGAGGGAGAAUAAUAUAUUUUUUUGUGUUGAUAAGGCGAUGAGCUAGUGGGAUGGAUUUUGAUAGAGAUCUGGAUUUGGUUCUGAUUCUCUUUUGGUCCUCUGCAAUUAAAUUAUCCUUCUGAUGACAGUGAUCAAGUGCCUGAAAUGCGUUGUGCUUUUGGACUAUUUCCUAUAAAAAUGAAGUCCCAUUUAUCAUGUUAGUCCUUUUCAUGCCUUGCAUCUCUGUAUUAUAUUGCCUUUGAUUACUUAAACAACAUCCAAAAUGUCCCUCAUCUAGCAUAAGUAAAUUACUCCUAAAUAAUCUUGAGGGUAGUUCAAUUGAUAAGAUCUUUAGUUUGUUUUUUAGUGGUCACAAGUUUAAGCUUUCUCAUGGCCACUAGAGUGUUUUACAUAGUCGUUAAUUUCAAGACUUGUGGAAUUAGUCGAGGUACACACAAGCUGGCAUGGAUACCUACAUUAAUAAAAAAAAAACAAUUACUCCUAAAAAAAAAAAAAAUUACAUGAAACAUAGUUGAAUAAGUACCCGUUUGACAUUAUAGUUGCGGUUGCUUUUCAAAAUGCUUUUGAUUAGAAUGCAUUGAAAUAUUUUUUUUAUUUUUUAAAAAUUUAUAUUUAAUAUCGACACAUCGAAUAAUAUGAAAAGACCAAAAAUAAUUAUUUAAAGUAAAAAAAAAUUAUUAAUUUUUUUAAAAAGGUUUUUGGAACAGAAUAAAGGGAAAGAUCUUAUUUUCUAAAGUACUUGAAAUGGAGGAGGAUAGAUUCUAGAUGAUAGCUAUUUAACACUUAAUUUAUGGUUAGUGAUGAAUAUUAAACUAAAUUUUAUUAUUAUUAUUAUUCUUUUUCAAAUUACAUGUAUAUUUGUUGAAUCCUCUAAGGUCUAACUUGAAAAGUAUAAAAGAUAAUUAUCUCAUUGGAUUAACUUGAGUCUAUCAUUUUUUUUUUAACAAAAUUUGUUUGAUAUUUUUUAAAAAAGAACAAAUUCAUUGGUUUUGACAUAGCUAGAUAUAACAGUAUCAACUUGUUAAAUCACUUAAAUUUAACCAUAUUAAUAUUAAAAUCAAUUUAAAUUAAAAGUUAACCUGAUCAAUUCUCUUGGCGAAAGUUUAAUAACUAUACAAGUCAUUGUUUACAUAGAUAGGCGCAGGCCCAAUCAAACGCAGAUGUCAGUACAAAAGCAUCAGCAUUAUUGAGAGAGAGAGAGAGAGAGAGAGAGAGAGAGAGAGAGAGAGAGAGGAAUUGUGGCUGAAAAUAUCAUUGCUGGGGUUCCAAACAAUGUGUAAUAAUUCAUGGACAUGGUGAUAUCUGGGGACCCUCCAUGGAAAGAGGAUGCUGUUUCUCUCCCAAGUGGGUUGCAGAGUUUGGUGGAUUUUUAUUUUUUUAAUCUAAAAAGUGGAAACCAAUUCUUCUUUGUCCCUGUAAACGGGCAUGUAAAGGGCAGGGCAGCCAUGUUUCUUAUCCUUGUAUUCAAAUAAACUCUUGAUUAAAGCUGCUGGGUGGAUCUCACCAGAAAAUUCAAUGCCGCAGUGGAGACAGAUGGCAACUUCACACGGUGAGAUUGAACCAGAUUCAUCCAUCUCUGCGAGUAGAGAGACACUCGAGCCCAUAAACAAUUUGAGGGAGUUGUGUUUUUUUUGUCUAUGGUUUCCUACCACCAUGCCGUAAGGCCAUGGUUAGCCCGUGCUCCUCUGUCUAUGGUUUCCUCCACCAUGCAGUAAGGCCAUGGUUAGCCCGUGCUCCUCCGUCUGUGACCAUCAUCUCUGCUCGAUGUUGCUCUUAUCUGAUACAUUCUUCCUCUGGUAAUUAUAAAGAUUACUUCGCCUUUGGCUGCUUCCAUGCAAGACGUUUAUUAUGGCAGAAACCAUCCUUUCAUGACCCAAAUUCUCUUCCUUCUGCUUCUUUUUAUUAUUAUUAUUAUUAUAUAUUCAGUGAAAUUGAUGCAAAUCAUUUUUUUAUAUUGGAUGAUAAUGAAUGAUCUUGAAUCAAGGUGUGCAUGGAUUAAUGAAAUAUUCUCAUAUCAAUUUAUACAUUAAUAAAAGAAAAAUGCAAGUCAUCAUCUAAGAUAAGAAUAGAAAUGAUGACACGAACCAAACUUUUUUUUUCCUUUUUUUGGUAUUUACAGGACGGGUUAGCAGUACGCAGAUGAUUAUAAAAUUUGAUCUAGCUUAAUAGGUUGAUCUGGUAAUUUAUUAGUUUAAAAUUUAGAUGAGUUUAAAUUUCAUUUCAAAUUAUAUUUUUUUAUUAUUAAAAUAAUAUUGUUUUGAUUAAAAAAAUGAUUUUUUUAUUUGUGAAUUAACGUAACCAUUGAUCCAUAAUCUUGAGUCAAGUAUUGGAACUAUGAUAUAACCUAUAAUUAUGGAUUUAACCCAUAAUUGGUCCAUGAAAUCUUUUAAUUUUUUUUAAUUAAUAUAGACCCCACACUCCUUUCUCUGUACUAAUCCCAUCCUCAUAUAUUAUAUAUUAUGUUUUGGUUAUUUUGUAUAAAUUCAUGGUUAAAUAGCUGGUAUAUGCAUGUUUAACCACUAAACAAGAUCUAUAAUUGUGAUUAAUCAUGGAUCUAAAUAAAACAAUCUAAAAAAGUUCUUAAUAAAUCCCUAAAGUAUCACACAUUCUUCAAUCGUGUCCUUCAAUAACAAAACAAGUAAUCACUUAAAAUAAAACAAGAAAAAUGGAUAAUACUUGAGAAAUCAAAAUUAAAUCUUACCAAAAGAAUUCCACAAUCCACGAAGAAAUCCAAGUCAGGUGAUGUUCCCUUGCGAGCAAUCAAUGGCUUUGGAGCUUCCCCUGCUAUUUUCUAUCACUAACAAGAACAAUAAUUGAUCUUGGGCUCCAGCACGUGGCAUCCAUGCCCUGCUGCCUGCUGCCAAUUCUCAUCACAACACGUGUCUCCUAUCACGUGACUGGCAAGUAAGGAAAAAGAUAAAAUUAAGUAUCCACUUGGCAAAUCCUCGAGGGUACAUCAAGUAGGUGUUGGGUUACUAUUGGCUAGCUAGAGAUGAGUCAUGGGAUUGGUCUUGGGAUACUGUCAACACCAGUUGACUCCUUCCUUUACCUGCUCCAAAAUUCUUACAAUAUAUCGACGUCGACGGGCACUCAUAAUUCCACGAAAGAAAUUUGACAUUUUGUACCAUCCAAGCAAAAGGUGAGUAACAAGAGUCAUUAUGAUGGGAAAUCCCACUUGCAGCAAGUGUUUACACAUGAUGUUAACGUCUAAUCUUUUUAUAAAGUAAUCCCAAGAGACUAUAAAGAAUUUUAAAGGAUAUUGUAUUGGUUGUUUUUUAAAUUAUUUUUUUGUUUUAAAAAUAUUAAAAUAAUAUUUUUUAUUUUUUAAAAUUUAUUUUUGAUAUUAUAAUAUAAAACGAUUUAAAAAUAUAAAAAAAUAAAUUUUAAUAAAAAACAAAUUAAAACUUGUUGUUUUUCCAUAAAACAUGAAUGAUUAAAUACCUAACUUUAAGAUUUUACAUUUUUCAACUAGUAAUGUGUCAUGUUCAUAUCCAAGAUCGUUGGGUUACGAGAGAUUUGAAUUAGAUAAAUGAAAUGGCUAACAAAAAAUAAAUUAAAACGUCGCUUUUAAAUGUUUUGAAAAAUUAAAAAAAAAUUAUACUAUUUCAACUUUUUUAAAAAAAUAGCCAUGAUUAUACCUUGAUGUAAAUGAAUGAUUUUAUAGAUCCAAAUACAAUCUUGAUAAUUAAUAAAAAUAUGACUUAACUUUUUAAAAAAACUUCAAGAUUAUAGCUUUUUUAUAUAAAAAAAUAAGACAAUAAUAUAUUAGAUCGACCUCGCCACCCACCAUUCAGGUCAUGAACUUUAUUGGGUUUACUGAAACUAUUGUUUUAACUAUGUGAGAAAAAUAUGGAUAAUAAAAAAGUUAAAUUCAAUAAAAAAAACACUCCACCAAACUCAUAAAUCAAGACAAUCUAGGUUACUCUAGAAAACCAGCAACUCAUGCUAACCUUAUAGAAAGGUAAAAUAAAAGGAAAUAAAUUAUGAAGCUAAAUUCUUAACCAUCAUAAUAUUAAAAGAUGAAAAUGACAAAAAUAAAUUUGAAAAAAAAUCAUAUCAAAAAAAAAAAAAGCAAAACAUUGUGGAUUACUAUUGUCAUUCACAGUGUGAUGUGUGUGGGUAAACAAUAGUUUUCUCACUUCAUAUCAAUAACAUGAAUUUUCUCUAAAACUAUUUUUGAACUAUAUGAGAAAAAAUAGACUAUAAAAAUCCAAGUUCAAUUAAAAAAAAGAUAACCCACCAAACUUAUAAAUAGAGGCAACUUGGUUACCUUGACAAAAUCAUAAACCAUGUUAAUCUCAUACAAAUAUAAAAUAUAAAGAAGCAAAUUACAAAUCUAAAUUCUCAAUAAUUUUAAAUUUAAAAGAUGAAAUUAAUAAAAAUAGAUUUGAAAAAAAAAAUUCAAAAAAGAAAAAGCAAAAUAUUAUGGAUUACUAUUGCAAUCUACAUCACAAUAGGUGUUAGGUGAAAAGUGAUUUCCUCCAUGUCUUUUAAUUUUUAUUAUUUUAUAAAGUUUAAUAACAUAAUUUUUUUAAAAUUAUUUUUUUAAGAAUAUGAGAAAAAUAAACUAUAUAAAAAAACAAAGUUUAAUUAAAAAUAAUACAUCAAAUCUAUAAAGGUAGACAAUCUAUAUUAUUUUGAUAAACCUGCAAACUGCACUAAUUUUAUAAAAAAUAAAAUAAAAAAAAUUACAAAACUAAAUUAUAAACCAUUUUAAUAUUAAAAAAUAAAAUUAACAAAAAUAAUUUUUUAAAAAAUUAUAAUAAAAAAUGUUAUGUAUUCAAAAAAAUAAAAUUACUGCAGUGUUUAGGGGAAAAAAAAAUUCAAUGCUUUCCCACGUCUUUUGCUUUUCUUAUAAUUGCGGAGAAAAUUGCAACAAAUUAACAAUUCCAAUCACAUCAAUACUCCAAUUUCUCUUGAGAAACUCAUGAAAACUUCACUUCUGUCCACCAUCCAUUCAUCCAAGAUAUAGAGCAUCGAGCCUCACGCCCGUUCCAAUACCAUUUUAUAAAGUAAAACCAUUUACUGUUUCCUGUUUUUACAAAUCCGCUACUUUCCCUUCUAUAAAACAACACACCCACACCUCCUUCUGAACACUAGACGAAGCUUGAUAUAAUUCUUUCACUCCAAUCUGUAAUCUCUGUUCUCCCAAAAUAUCGGAAGACCCCAGAAAUGAGUUAUUUGAACCGGGUUUGGAUGGCAGCUACCGUGGCUGCAGUUGGAUACCCUGAUCAAGGGUGGAAAUCCAGCUUAAUAUCACUGCACCAUGGCAAGAGGAGGGUGUUCUCUGGCGGAGAUGUGGUGGAGAUGCGGCCACUUGCUGCUGCUUCUGUCGGAUCGGAUUGUAUUGGUCUUGGAGGUUGUGGAUCGGAAGAGGGAGUGAGGCAGAACGAUGAGUCUCUCCGACAAGUCAUGUACUUGAAUUGCUGGGGCCAGGGGUGACUAGGGUGAGAAGGUAGCGGUGACCGAGUGACUCAGUGAUGAGUUUCAGAGUCCAAGGAGAUUGACAAGGUGGUGAUCUUUAGCCGAUCAACUCAGCGGUGUGUUGGCGAGGUACAGCCUGGGGGAUUUGGCCAGAGUUGACUAGGUAGUGGAUUGUGAUCGAUUGACUCAGUAGUGAGUUGUAGAGUCUGAGGCAAUUGACCAGGUGGUGAGUUGUGGAAUCAAUGUUGAGAGGGGAUUGACUUUACAAUGUGAAUUUAUUGCGGGGAUGAGGAGAUGAUGGAAAAAAAAAUUAAUGUGAAUUUGUACAGAAACAAAAUGUCACAAAUAAUAUUGCACUGUUUUUGUCUUAUUUUAUUUACUUAUAUUUAUACCCAUUAUGAUUGAAUAUUAAAAUUAAAUAUUGUGAGUUUCAAAACCUAAUCUCUUCAGGAAUUUUCAUUUUUAUUAAGAUGUUUACAAGAAAAGAAAAGAAAAGAAAAAAGAAGACAGCAUAAUAUUCAAGCAUCAACAUUGAUUUGUUCCAACUCUUGCAGUUUCCAAUUUUCGUAAAACAAAUCUGUUAGUUGAUCGUUAAAAAUUGAGUUGAUUUUUAUUUGAAAUAAUAUAAAAUUAUUAAAUAGGCCCUAAAAAGAUAAUGAAUACCUGGAAUAGAUAGGUGUUAUGUGAUAUGUUCAAGGCCGUGUUAGUAUUUUUUUUAUAAUGUAAAAAACAGGUUUUAAGUGAUGCAAUGUUUUAAAAUAGGUAAAAAAAAAUCUAAAAUUUAGGUUAUUGAUUUAGUUCAAUGAAUUCAAUUAAUUUAAUUUCAUGAUUAACAAAAAGCCUUUGAUAGUAAAUAAAGUGAAGUAUUUUUUAUAAUAAUUAAUUAUAAAAAAUAAGUUGUCAAUAUAUGUAUAAACUUGUUGUUGCUUCUUUGUGAAUAUCGCCUCACUACUAGAAAAAGCUUACCAAGAUAAUUCUAAUGCCACGUGAAAGUAGGAGGGAUUAUUUUUAGUUCAGUUCAGUUUUUUCCUAUAAAAACAAAAAAAAACACAAAAAAUCAAACUUGAUUCCAACUGAUCGUUUUUAAUUUAGUUUUCUAUAUCAAAAACCAAAAAAACCUAUAUUUUUUUAACAUCCAAAAGCCACAAAAUCAAACCCAUCUUCAUCAUCAGCAACCCUCGUGGCAAUGUUGAAUCCAUACCAACCUUUUUUCAAGCAAAUGACCUCCAACAGAACCAUACUCUCUCACCUUAAUCAAUCACUCCUUACUAUCAGAAACCCAAAAACCUACAUCACUAAAAACCAUACUCUCAAACACAAACCAUCACCACCACAAUAAAAACUGCACAAUGCCUAUUGCCACUUUCUUUACCCAUUUUUCUUAUAUAUAUAUAUAUAUAUAAAAUACUCAACAACCGCCAACAACCCAAAUCACAUAAUUAAGCCCAACCUCCACCCUUAUUGCCUCCACUAGUCACCCGGUCCAGCCACCCUCAUCACCAAACCACACCAGUUCCAAUCAAAAACGCACACUACCAAUAACCCAACAACUUAAACCACCACCAAGACUGAAGAUCACUAUCAUUAAAAGCUCCAUAUUUUUCUCGUUUCUCUGCUGCCCCAUUAAAUAUAUUCAUCAACUCCUUUAAUUUCUUGUAAGUAAUCAUUAAAUGUCAAAUUAAUUUUUACUUUUUAUCAAUAAGUUCUGUUGGAUUUCUAUUUUUGUGGCAUGGCCAGAAUGGUGCCAAAGCGAGAAACAAAAACUGUUAAGCAAAAAAAAUAUAUAGAGAAAUCUCACUGCUGUCAAGGCUUAUGGGUGUUGCUAGGAUGAUAGAUCUGGAGAUGCAAAUUAAAAAAUAAAUAUUGAAAGGUUAGGUGUGACAUGUGGAAGCUUGGGUGAGGGUGGUUGGUUUGCAAGAUAUGGUGACGACUGAUGAAGAUUAUGGAAUUAACUUAAUGAAGAUUAAAGAACAAAGAAUUGGGUGUGGACUUGUGAGUUUUGAGUGCUAUGGGAGGUUGUGAGGAUCGAGGAGGUGUAGUGUGGGUUAUGUGGCGUGUCUGUGAGAGGUAUUUAAAGAACCUUUAUUUUAAUUUGAACCGGUUUGGUUCAAUUUGAGUUUAUCAAUUUUAGCAUUAUAAAAUUGAAACUGAAUCGAACCGAAAUUUUUUUUAAAUAUUCUAAUUGAUUUUUUUGAAUGGUUAACUUUUUUCGAUUUUCUCGGUUUAAUAGGUUUUUUGGGUUUUUUUACUCACCCUUACGCGGAAGGUUGCACGACGACACCGGAAAAAAUCAUGAGUGUCGUAAGAGCAACGACCUAUAAAUAAAAUUAAACAAAAUAUCAUGAAGUGAGUAUCUCAUGCUUAUAUUUAAUCAAUUUAUUUAAUUUAAUUCAAAAACAAGAUUUCUUUUUUAAAAAGCUAAACUUAACAAAGAACAACAAAUAAAAAAAAAAUUAAAUAGCUUGAGUCAUUUUCAAAAUUAAUGAAAAUUCUAUAGAAAGUAAAUAAAAAAAAAUAGCAGAACCCAGACUUCAUUUAAAUAAAUGUUAAAGGAUAAAACUGAAAAAAAAAUGAGCUUAUAAAAUAAAAUAAAAACAAACAACCAAACUUGUGCCAAAUUCUUAAACCUGGGUUAAUCUUUCAAAUUUGCAACUCAUGAAAUCUUUAACUUGAGCUCAAUCAAGAAGCUCAAUUCCUAACUAAUUUAAUAUCUAGGAAUGAAAUAAAAAGAAUAUUAAUUUAAAAAAAUUUCAAAAAGUAAUAAAUCAAAAUAAUGAUGAUCAAAUUUAAUAGGAAAAACAUUGUAGGAGGAUCAAAUUGCAAGAAAAAAUUCAAUUUUAAAAAUUAUCUCAAAUAAAACAAAUAAUAAUUUAAAGAAUGAAAACCAAAUUUGAUAGAUAAAAAUAUUGAAGGAGGAUGAAAUAAAAAAAAUCUUAUUUUAUAGAUUAUUUCAAAUAAAAUAAAUAGUAAUAAAAAAACAUGGGUCGAAUCUAAAGAAAAAAUAAAUUGAAACGUAGUUUUGAAAAUUUAAAAGGUCAAGUGCAAAGAUUGAGGAGGAUAAAGAAAAGAAAGGAAAGAAAAAAAAGAUUGUCGAUGCCAAACCUAAGGUCCAUUGGACAACACGUGUUGUCCAAUGGGAAAAAAAGACAUUGAUGUUUAUUUGUUAUUUAGUUGGGUUUUUUUUUUAUUUUUUGAGUGAUUUUAAAGUGUUUUGAGGUUGAUAUGUGAUUUUUAGAGGUUUAUAUUGUGUUUUAGAGGCAUUUUCAAGAAACAAAAAGUGUUAAAAAUUGAAUUUUUGGGAUCCUUGGAUCCCCAUUUUAAAAUAAAUUAGUUAGCAACCUAUUGUCUAAUUUUUUUUUUUUUUAAAUAUAAGAGCACAUUGUCCUCUUUUAAUGAAAAAAACAAAAGGCACACCUACAUUUUUUUUAUGAAGGCUAGAUAUGUAGGCUUGACCUAUUAGCACAUGGCCUCAUUGCUUUUUACCCAUUUACAUAUAUUGUUUAAUUGCAUUAUACUUUAACGUGAUUUUGAUUUUUGUUGAAUUUUUCUUAUAUAUUUUAUAUAAAUUAAAUGCAUUUAUAUGAAGUUUUUAUAAAAACAUAAAUCAUUUUUUAUUAGCAACACAUUUAACCACUAAGAGAAAAUGAAUGAAAAUAUUUUAAAGAAAAAGGGCAAUGUAAAAUAUUUAUGUGUAUCUAUCUUUUAUUUUUAUUAUGAAGAUUAGCUUUUUAUUUUAAUUUUUAAUUAGUGUUAAUUUAUAAAUUCAUAUAUUUCUUAGUUUAUUUUAUAAAGCAUAAACAUCCUUUUGUUUCUCAAAUAAAAAUAUAUGAUACAUGAAAACAUAUCCAUAAAUUAAUUAUUUUUUUAAUGUUAAAAAUUGACUUGAAAUCCUACAUGUAGUGUAAACAUAUUUGUGUUUCUUAAUUAAAAAAAUCUUGAUAUUUUAAAAUAUAUCCAAAACAUCAACACAUUCUUUUAUUAUAUUCAAAUUUAAUUUGAAAUUCUAUCUACAUUGUAGCACAAGUGAUAAUACUAGUUAAAUACAUAAAUGAUAUGAUUUUUUUUUUUACAAAAAAUAUAAGCCUUUUUUUUCAAAAAGAAAUUGACUUGAUUUUAUAAAUUAAAAAAAAACACAAAUAUUUCUUUAGAAAGGAGUGUAAUUGAUAAAAUGAGUGAUAUAUUUCUUAGCUUAUUUUAAAAAAGAUAUUUCUGAUUUUUUUUAAAAAAAUCAGAAAUAAAAGCUAACUCCAUUAAUUUUAAUUUUAGGGUAGAAAUUAUAGUUUUUAAAAGCAUAAAGUGUAUACUGUAAUGGCACGCAAAAUGUAGCAUGUUGGAGGUGAUUAACUCUUAAUUUCAAUGGUCUAUUUUAAGCCAAUUUUAAUUUAAGGGCCAAAAAGUUUCGUGAUUAAGAAUCCCUUAGACAUAAAUUAUAAAAAUUAAAAUUUCACUUCUAAGUUUUAAUUCAAAAGUUUUUUUCAUAAAUAAUUUAUAACAAAAACGAAUUAAGUUAAGAUUAUGUUUGAUUAACAAUAAUUUAAAUAUACUUUUUUGAAAAAUAGUAAAUUUAAAUUUAAAACUUUUAACUUUUGAUUAAAACUAAAUUCUGAUUUAAAUAAAAAAUAUUUUUAAUUAAAUAUAUUUACAAAAUUCAUAGAAACACAACCUGAUUAUAGUCUUAUCACAAGCGCCAACAUGUGUACAACAGAUUUCAGUAUCCUUAAAAUGUGAUACUCUUUUAUGCGUUUUUUUUUUCUUUACAAAAAUAAAACAAUCAAAUUUACAAUUAAUAAUGUAUAACACUAAGAAAAUAACAAUAACAACACCCUUGUUCUUGUUGGUUCUUAAGGUGGGAACUCUUCAUUCCAUAUGGAUAAACAAGCAGCAAAAACCCUUUCAAAAGCUAUCUAAAAUUGUUGAUAAUUAUAUUGCCACAAGCAUGCAGCCACAAAAGUAGGGUAUGGGGUCAUACCGGUAAAGAGAGGGUCCUCAUGUUCGCAAGGUUGUUUUGUGGUUUUAUCUCCCAUGAAUUAACCAGCAGUGCUUCUUCAGAGAGUAUAAAAGGCAAAGAGAUCUGACGGAUCAUCAAUUCACCACAAAAUGGACAUUCACUUGCAAUUGCAUCAUCCAGUUGAGAACGGAGCUGGAGAUCACGACAUAAAAAAGUCAAUUAAAUUCAAGAUUAGAUUCACCAUUACGAAGCUUUAGUUCAUAAUUGUUAGUAACAGGAGGUAUAUUGUUCUCGGGUGUACACAAAAGCCAUUAGCCAGGAUUAAGUAUAUGCAAAAAUCUCACUGAAAGUGAAGACUGCUGUUGAAAAUUAAAAACUACUUCAUAUUGCCACUGAAUGUUUACUUGUAAAUGACAAACAUAAAACAGACCUUGUCUGCAGGAGUCAUGCUAGUAAUGGAAUCCUCAGUUAUGCCACCAUUCAUGUCUUUCCUAGCUCCGUCACCAAGCAACGUAAGCUGCUUCUGCAGAUCCAGUAUAUAUUCUGCCUGCAUCAUUCAUUUGAAAAAAACAAAACAAAAAAGAGGUUGAAAGGGUCAGAUCAAAUAUGAAGUUCCUGCGAGUGAGAUAUUUUUACAACCAGAAAUUUCACAAAUGUAGAAGAAGAGUUCUACUUUCAGGGCACAGGUAGAAUAAUAAGCUUGUGCAGAUAUAGUAAUCCACAAUCCAGAUGAUCAUUCAAUCACAAUUUUGCCAGCAUAAUUCCUCUGUUCAGAACUAACUAUAAAACUAACAAAUGCAAUUCUUACAAUCUGCACAAGUUGUAACCAAUCAAUGCUCUUUUUCUUCCAUCCUCGAGAGAAAAGGAUGGUGGGUUUGACCAGCAGAGGCCAAGUUGUUUUAAUGGCUGUGCUAGUGAAACAUAUGCAUUUCCAAAUGAUGCUUUCCGAUUUGAUUAAUGUUGUAGCCAUCAAUGGAUGUGCUUUUUAUGCUAUUCAAAGUAGAAAUAAAUGGUAGUAUGAUUGGCUAUUUAAUCAGAUUAGAAGUUACUUUGACUUUCAAGUUGCACCUACCAAGUAAAAUGUCAUCUUGAUUCUCAAAUUUGCAACAGCAGCAUUUAACCAAAAAUACUAUGUGAGAAAUGCUGCACAUCAACUUACUUGAGUUUCAUUGACAGAACAUGUCACAUGGGCAAUCAAGCAAUGCACAUGAAAGGCAUGCCCACAUGGAAAUACAUAGAAGGGAGCCAUUUGUCCUACUGAUGUAUAGCCCCGAGACAUACGGUAGUCCCCACCCACAAUCAAGAUUUUGCGCUUACAAACCUGAGAAGAAUAAAUUCAGUAAGAUGACAACAGAAUUUAACAAGUUCAAAUAUGAGCUAUGCAACUGGAAACAGUUGCUUUAUGGAACAGUAAAAAUCUUGGACUACCAACCGUGAGGGUCCAAGUUUGAAUCAUGAGAGGAACCACCUCAUGCGGAAAUACUGAAGGCUGGGACUAUCUCCAAAGUCCAAGAUCUAGUUCCUAUGACCCAACUACAGUAUGAUGACAACAAGGUAAUGACACCAAUUAAAAUAAACAUAGUAUAAGGGGAAGACCUAUUUAGGCCCACCUAUUUUCAGCCUUGGAAUCUUUUAGAGUACAUGGAAAACUUCAGCAAAAAGUUUCAAAGGUGAGACUGAGCCAAAAAAGCAUCCUUUUACUCCUAAGGCAAGUGAAGGGUAAAGUGAUAUCCCAACCAAUGCAAGUACAGGGAAAAAGAUCAAGUGUAGCUUUAGCAUGCAGAUUGUGAAUGGAACAACUAAAGACUGGAAUGGCCAAUACCCCACAUUCCUCGUCGCGGUCAAUGACAGCAUAUCUUUGAGCAAGUGCACUAAUAUCAUUUCUUAUGUUGUCAGCGCCAUGUGUAGCAUCAUUCAUCUCCUCUUUUAGUUGUUCGAUUUGGUUGUUGUAAUCCUCCAAUGAUGAGCAAAUUGCCUCCUACACUCGCACAAGAGAGUCAACUCUAGUAUAGAAGCCAGCAGCAAAGGGACAGUAAAAUACUCAAGUUGUAGAAUGUUCAUAACAGGCAUAAAAUUAGAAGGGCACACAGCAGCUCAAAUGGCAAUCGGAGGAGAGAUAAAAUUUGAAAAUAAGGUAAGAAAGGAUGAACGAUGUCAUGGAAAAUUAUCCCAAAACAUCAGGGUAACAAGAUUACCUUGAAGUCAUCAAUUAGGGCAAAGUCUGGAAAGAAUGGUAAUAUAUCCUCAAUCUUUAGAAGGCCAUCAGUUUCCUUGAGAAAUGCUAUUGCCUUCCUUAUAUUCUCCCUUUUAGUUCCCUUUUCUUGUUCAAUAACAUGCUUGGCAACCAUAAGCCAAAGCUUCUUUCUCAAAUCUUCGUCAUCUUCCACCUUGUCAGCUUCAGCCAUUGCAAGCUCGGGGUCAACCUAAUUACAAGCGGGAAAAUAUGUCAAAACAGCACAAGACCACACAGAGAUACAAGACUAGAGGAAAAACCAAUUUCAUUUCUGAGCUCCUUGGAUUUGGAGGUGUCUGUAAAUUCAGUUUGAGAGAACUCUUAAGGGCUUUUUCCUUUUCAACUUGGGGCUAUGGUGUCUUAUUCAACUUGGAAUUUUGGGUUUUUUUCCCUUCAACUAUCUUAUCUGAAAAUUGUAAUGGGUUAAAUAAUUCUAUGAGGUGUCUGGUGGAUAAAGGUAAAGCAAAAUUUGUAGGGUUUGGUAAGAACAAGAGCCCCCAUGAAAAGAAAAAAAAAAUUCUGUAAACAAAUUUGGUAGUGGAUUUCAGAAAAUAAAAUUUCAAACAUGAAUUAUCCCUUUCCUCGGAUUUUAUUCCAUCCAGUGUUCAUUUGUGAACCCUCCUGACCUUCUAGAUUUCUAGCCAUAUUUGCUAAAACUUGCAGAAAACUGAUCUGGGGUCAGAUUGCAAGACUUCUAGCUUAGAUUUGAAUUUCUUAUGGAUUCUUUCAAAACUUGAUACCCUCAGUUUUACUUGGUUUACAGCACUGGCUGCUGGUAAACUGGAGCACAUCAAAUUUCUAUAAAAACAAAUUGCAGUAGGAUCUAGAGGCACUAAAAUAUCACCUGUAGAGCAAGAGCAACUGCUUCUUCGUGCAUGGACAUCAUGCUGUAUAUGUGAACACAGGCACGCAUCCGCUUUUCUUUGAGGCAAAGACGCAAGGCAUACUUGGGAUCAUAGAAGAAAUCUGGACCAUUUUCUCGUCCUUUCCCAAACUUGCAUUGUAGGAAACGCAAAAGUGCAUCAUCAUCUUCCUGAAUAUAAAUGAAACAAAAUAUCAUCAAGGCAACCCUCAAAUGAGCUGUGAUAAUACUGUUUGAGCAAAAUCUCAUGGGUGAAGAAAAUAAAAAGAUAAAAAAACUCAAGUGCUUUCAUGGAAUAACUUCAGGAGCAAGAAAGUUUGGAAUGACUGUUGUGGCAUCAAAAGGAUCCAGAAAAUACAUAUAGUUUACUUCUCCAGAUACAGACCCACUGGCAUACUUAACCUUUUGUCAGUAAACAAUUCAAAUCAAAAUCUUUAAAUGAUAGCAUGUCAAACAAAAUAUGAAAUUACAAACUUAAAGACAUUUCCACCUGUUAAAAUUCUAAGAACAAACCCAACCUGUUUAGCAUAGAGAGAAAGAAGCAAGUUGUGAACUCCAGGAUCCUCAUUAUGCAAACAAUGAACACAGAAUUCCAAAUAUUUGAUGACUUCAUGGGUUUCAUUCCUGCAGGUGACACAUAGUUGCAGUGAAAAGAGAUCCGCAAUUCACCAGAAACAUCAAAUACAUACUCUAACAUUUAUAUGUUAAUAACUGAACAGGAAAUAGAACUUCUGAAGGUUAUUGCAAUUUAUAACUAUUGAUCUAUAAAUUGGCGGUCAUGUCUGAUGAUACAAGACACAAACUUUCUUUGACAAAAGUAAUUUUUUUUGUCAUGGAAUCUACCAAUCAGAUCAUAAGAAACGUUUAUGCCACAGGUAGGAAAAGCAAGCCAAUGAUUGUGAUUAGAUGACAGCUCAAAGAGAGAAACCAGAAGGAUUGGGAAAUCUAGCACUGGUGUGAGCAGCAGCACCAAAACUAAACUCAGACUUUCUAUCAUUUACAAGUCUUGUUUAGAGCCAAAAACAACUAAAUAAUAAUGGAGACAUCACAAGAAAUUGAGCUCGUUGUAAUGCUUACAGAAGUAAAAAUUCACACCCCUCUGAUAAAAAGAAAAAUGUAAUAAUUGAAAAAAGUUGCACCCAUUACUUUGCAUGAGGUUCACUUGAAUAACGCAUCAUUGCGGGAAUCAGUUUUCUUGGGUUCAGGUUUUUUGUGGUCAUCCAUGACUCAACUGUUUCAUAUGCAUCAAGAACAAUGAGAUCUGGGGCAAACUUGUACUGCAAAGCAAAAACAAUCUCACUAAGUACCUUUAUAGAAAAUAGGACUAAAAACAAGGUGGUGUGGACUCUUAAGAGUACAGAAAGCAUUACAGCAAAAAACCUCGCUGCAACCAUCCAUGAUUGGGAAAAUGAACCAUAUUUCAAAUCACACUUAAACAUGUACCUGAAGGUCUAUUGGAACAGCAGGUUUCUGAAGCACUUCCAAUGCUUUCUUUGUUUCUCCUUGCUGGAGUUAAACGCCACCCACCCACCAAAAAACAAAGGCAAAUUAAUAAUAUGAAUUGCCAGGAACAAGAACUCGGGCAUAAAAAGCUGCCUACCUACAUGCCUAUACACACACAUACAUAUGGUUUUGUACUAUGUGUGCUGUCAUACGGUGUACCUGUUUGGUCAGAUGCUAGAAUUUUUUUAUAAAAAAACACUUUCUAUGCCAUUGCUGAGGAAUAGGAUAGUUUUUCUUUCUCUGUGGUGUCAUGCUUCAUGUGGUUUUAGGGGACUUUGCUUAGGUGACAAUCAGUGUGAUCGGGCUGCUGUUUCAUGAUAUUCCUUUUGCUUUCUUAAUUUGGAGGCUGACUUAUUCUCUAUCAUGCUUUUGUAACUCUAUUUAGUGCCUGUUUGGCAUUGCGGCCAAACCGGCUUUUUGAAAAAAUUCAAAAAAUUUUUAUUUUAUUUUUUUGUUAAAAUUGAGUGCGGUUUGUACUUUUUAGAUCGUUUUGAUGUGCUGAUGUCAAAAAUGAUUUUUAAAAAAUAAAAAAACAUUAUUGGCAUGCUUUUCGGCACGAAAAGCUAUUUGAAAAGCAACCGUUAUCACACUCCCAAACACCCUCUUAGUCAGUUAAUACAAUUUUAUUUUAUCAAAAACAGUGUGUGUGUGUGGGUGUGUGUAUGCGUGCGCACUAAGAGAAGACAUAAAGAAUCCUAACCACCACUGUCAGCUAACAGACACUAUCAACAAAAAGUAUCUGACCAAAUGAAGAUAGAGCUUUUUUACUUAACGAUCCUACUAAAACCUAUCUGCUACAGUCAAAAGGACUGUGUUCUCAAAUUAGAAGGAUUUACCACACUAAAGUUGAAGGCAAAUAUAGUAUUCAUUAGUUUUGUUUUAUGUUCUCACCCUCUAUGACCACUCAAUAAAAAAGAAAAUAGAGGACAAUUUUGCAUUCUCCAAUGAAACUAAGCUACAAAGCAUGGCAAGUAACAACAAUGUUCAGCAAAUAAACAAAGGUUGUGAAAGCACCUGAACAUAGUGGUGAAUUACAAUUUCAUACUGUUCCUUCAGACUAGCAAAAUACACUAGUUCUUCAACCCUGCCAUAGCUGCAGAAAAGCAUUUGAGCUAAAAUUCACUCCAGCAUAUUUUUAACAGACAAGAACAAUCGAGAAGUCAAACAAAAAACCAAUAGCAAUUUAUGCAUGUGGAUGCAAGGACACCCGAGAUGGUUUGAUGUUGGGCAAAACUAUCAUAGUGCAAACGAGUUCUUUAACAUGCAGUAGAAUAAGGAACUAAUAUUAAUAGAAUGGAAUCACAUCAAACAAGAAAAAUUGGUUAUUUAUCAAUGGUUCCAAGCACAUUUGUCUCAAAUAAGACUAGAGACAGACAUUGUAGGUCUAAAGUCUAAAUAAGUGUCAAGCACUACCAAAAAUUUAUAUGAUUACCUCUCUAGAAGUCUCAUAGUAGUUGCCUCAUCCAAGACAUCCUUGCAGUCACCAAGGAAAGCACGAAACUCUUGAUUGAUUGAUUGGUACUCAGAACUAUGUUUGUCCAAAGCAUUAUCCUCUUCCAAGAGUAGCCGAUUUAUCUAGAAAAUUGAAUGUGAAAUUCAUUGCUAAAAUUUAAUGAUCUCAGAUACUAAUUAUUGAUGCAUAUAUGGAUUGAAGAACUUUUCAAGCAAUAGAACUUUUACAUGCUAAAACAUUACAACUCAUUCAGCAACUAAAACUUUUCAUGUAGUAACAAACAUAGCAGAGGUGAAUUACUACUUACUACUAAUGCAACAAGUGAAGAAUGUCCAAGAAUUUAAAUCAAAACAUCUCAAAAGCUGCUGCAUACUCUUACAAAAAAGUUUCUGCUUAAAGUAAAACAGAAGUAACUAAAAUUUUGAUUAAUUAGCUCAGAUUCAAAAUGUGGAAGAUACAAGGAUGGAAAAGGAGCUGACAUACCAUGACCUCCAAGAAACAAAUCAUCCACUAGCAUGUUCAUGCCCGACAAAUAAUAUAAAAUGUUCGCUUUUCAUUUUUUUCAAUUUAAUUUCAGUAGAUGUUAGCAUUUGACUUUUGAGAGAAGUAGACAUAAAAAUGGAACAUUAGAAGUAGAACAGAGGAAAAAUUUCAGAAAUGUCUGGUAUUGUCAGAUGCAUAUAUCAAACCUUUUCAUUUCUCUCUUGUGCCAGUAACAUCUAUUAAAUUGACAAUGCAAUCAAUCUAGAGGAUCAAAGGCCAGUUAAGACCAAAUAUCUGAGAUAGUUUUUUAUCGAUGAUACAUGUCAGAUAAAUAAGUAAAACCUUAUCCAAGUACAAUUCAGUUGCCCAUGUGGAAAUCAUUGUUAUUUGGCACUUGUCAUCCUUGGCAAGAUUAUCAAGCUUCCGCAACAAGAAAGUUCGCAAAGCAUCCUGCAUGUAAGCAAAGCUAAGUAAGAACUUCUUUGUACAAGCCAAUCCUUUUCUUUUGGCAGCCCAGAAAGCAGAAGUUAUCAUAAAUUAAAUGCAGAUGUAACAUUUCUCAAGUCCUGACUUUAUACAACUAUACAGCUACCUAUAUUUACAAACUCGGAAUACCAAUAGUAAAAACCAUAUUAUGCGUGCAAUUCAUAUAAAUAGAAUAAUAAGCAUGGUUAAAAUACAAAAACUAGGUUGAGUGUUGACCCAAUUGAAGUUUACUCAAUGAAGCAUUAAGGUCACAUGAGAACUAAUGAUGGGGAACUAAAAUCCUUCUCAAACUCCCGUUUUAGUAUUGCAUUUGCUAUUUAUAUAUUUAUGCAGAAGCAUGGACAAUUUAUGCAUUCAAUGUGGAAGAAGCAUGGACAACUUCUGGCAGAAAACAUGAUAUGAUGCAUAUGACAUAUAAUCAUUUUGUUAAAAUGAAACUAACAUGACCAUAAUGCAGAAAAUAUGAAUGGUCCUGAGUUUACCUGUUCGCCUACACUAAUAAACUUCAACGUAACUUCCUCAAAUGAUAAUAUGUAAUUAAUCUGAAAAGAAGAAGAGAAAGCAAAACAAAACAAGACAAAAAAGAACUCUUAUUAGUUAUAUGUCAUCUUCUAAAUAAUGGCACAAUCACAUAAUGAAUGAGCUAUUUGAAAAAAUAAAAUCAAGAAACAGAGAAUUCACUUUUGCAUAGAACGAUGCUGCUCUUAGAAAAUCCCUGGAGGUGAAAGCAGCAUCUGCCUGAAUCAGAAACCACUCCAGUUAUACACUGGCCAGAUAACAACAAGGAUUCUCCAAAAGAUACUGCUUGCAGAUGAAAUUGAAAUUUAAGGUGCCAUAAUUUUAAACUUAAAUUCAUAAAUCACAAACCAGCUGCUAUUUUACUUGCAGUGUGGUUUAUUAGACAUUACCUGCACUAAAUAUACUUGGUCUCUCUGGAGAGGGUCUCGACAAUUUGCUAAAGCUGCAGCAUAUUCUUUCAUGUCUAGAUACACCUUCCACAUAUCUCUCCCUUCAUCGUUAACAGACACCUAUUUAUUUCUCAAUACAGUGGCACAAAACGAAUAAAUUACUUUCUUAUGCAACAUUGACAUAAAAAUAGAGAACUAGAGAACAAUCAAGAUGCUGGCAGAUUAAUAUUUUCCUUGGUAGUUUUAGUUUUCUUAUAUAGUUCAGGAAUGCUUGCGCUAUUUGAAUUCUACAUGAGUCAUAAAACUUUUAAUGGUGAUUCCUCUUCUAAAAGGAUUGGGAUUUAGACCUAAAACUAGUAUAAAUUGGGCUGCCAAUGCUGCUUUUCAGAAAUGUCUUAUAUUAUUAUCACUCUAUUUACAUUUUAGAGGUUUUCUAUGCACUCUAAACCUAUUUUUCUAGUUCCAGUUUCAUUAUCUUCCAGUUUUUGCCAUCAAAAUUCUAUUCUUUUCUGUUUUGAGUUAAUUUCUCUUCCCACCGCCACAUCAUGAGAUACAAACCUGAAAAAUAGAAUUUUGGUCAUAUGCAUAGAACAAGCCAGCAGUGGCAUCACUGCAUAAUCCGAUAACACCCCUUGAAACCGAUUCUGAUGUUUGGUCAAACUGAAGCUCCUCUAUAAUUUGCUCACUGAUUCUGUUAACAACCUAUCAAAACAUGACAAAGAAGUAUGAACACCUAUAGAAGGUAAAUGCAUAAAUUGGAAAAUCCUAGGUGAUGCGAAGGCAACCUAAUUUAAAUCCAAAAUACUUCAGUAGUUGAACAUGAGAUGUAAUAGAAGAGACUAAGCAAAAGUAAGGCCUCAUAACCAGAAAUAGUUACAAAAACUGAAGGUAAUGAAUGAAAACUUAUGUUUAUACUCAUAAAGUCAACCAAUUGGCAUUAUCAAGAGUAAGAGUGUCAUGAGUGCUUGUUAUGACUUACCUUAACCUUGUUUCCAAUAAGAAGUAAGAAAUGAAAUUCAGAAACUGCCAUUGAGCUUGGUUUAACUGCAUCAACACCAUCACUUAAUUUUGAAUAGUCCAAAAGAGCCUUAUUCUCCACAAAAUUCUCAUCACCAUUUAUGUAACUGCCCAAGAAAUUUCCAUUGAACAACUGUAAGUAAAGGUUUUGCAAUAGAAAGCCAUUUGCUAAAACAUUGAGGACUAACAAGCGGCAUAUGUAGAGAAAAUACAAUAGCCAUUUUCUAAGACAUCAGUGGAACACAGCUGUACCAGCAACACAAAUUUUUUUAUCAUUUACAAAAAUGUGACAAAUAAAAGAACUUUAACAGAUGCUUCUGUGGAUAUAAAGGGAGUAGUCAAGAAUGACAUUCCUUACCUAUGCUGCGCUCCAAAAUUUAAGCCACCAUGAUAGAUACCUGCUCCAGAAAGCCAUGCAAAAUGCAUUGCUCUUCUUUGCUUGAUAAAAAAAUGCAAUUCACUGAUAGAUGACCAAAACAGCACAGGAGCUUCAUGGUCAGAAAGUUCAAGAAAAAUGGAAAAUAACUGUUCCCAAGUCAUCAUACAAAACCAUAAAUUACAGAUUACAAAAAUAAAUAAAUAAAUAAGUAAAGAAACUUGAAUAAAUUUAGGCAAUGAGAAGUGCUUGCCUGUUUGGUAUUUCCCCUGGCAGUUCCAUAAAAUGCACCGCACGUUCCAAGUAACUAGCAAAAACUGUCUACAAAUGCUAACAACUAAUAAGAAUUCAAUUUGAAUUAUAGCCAAUAUCAUGUAAAACAAACUGCAGCAAGCCAAUAACGAGUUGUUCCAGUCACUUGGUAAGAAAUUCAUAGCACAGCCACAAACAAAUUCAGGAUCAAAAGCACAAAGAUAAAGAGUUCUACAACAAUCAGUUACUUCAUGAUAGCACACAGAAUUUAUAUCAGAAACAAACUUACCUCCAAUAAUCCAAUUCCAGUAAAAGAAUAAAGUCGUGUUGGAGUAACAGCCAUCACAUAAUAUCUGGUUACAUUGCUUAAGCUAGCCGUUUCCAUCUGCAAACCAAAAAGAGAUCAUUUACUUAAGCACAGACAUACAUGACCUAUAAUUAAUCCCAAAAUGCAAUUCCUUCAAGUUUAUCGACUUUUAUCAACCAAAACCAAAGAAAGAGCAAACCUGCAAAGCCAUGAAAGCUUCAGGCAAUUCCUUUAAUUCAAACAAAAACUUUAUAUACUUCUCCCUCUUAUCUUUCUCAUCUACAGCCAUCUCAAACAGCUGCCCAUUAUCCGUCCCAAUAACAACUUCCUUCGUAGACGCUGCACAAGAAAACAUCACAAUUAAUCAAAACCAUUAAUUCCAGUCACUUUCUACAAGUAACUCAAAAGGAUAUCAUAAUCACUUAAACUUCUAUCUUUUUUCACUUUAAUCGAAAUUAUACCAUAAUUUAGCAAGUUAAAUCAAACUAACACAUCACACAAACCCCUCUCUAACUUGAAAUCACAAUUCACAGACACAGUAAUAAAAUUUACAACAAAACGAAACUAACAUAAAUUUCCACAGGGUUGAGCUUUUACUUUUUCACUUUAAUCCACAAUUAACAUACACAUUUAAACUACGAUUUUUCUUUAAAACAAGCAAUAAAAAAAAAUCAAAACUAAUUACCUUCAGUAAUCAGUUGCCGAUUCCAAGCAACAGCAUUAACGAUCAAACCUUUCAACCUCCCAAGCACACGUGGUUUACUCCAUUUAGCAUGCAUAUAAAACGUCUCCGCACCACCUCCACCAAUAACGGUGGCGAUACAGUGGCUACCACCAGGAUCCACAAACACUCUAUGUAUAGAUUGAUCGCCAGGCCGUCCACUAGAAAGAUCAAAAUCUAGCAUUUCAAGGAAGAAAAUUAGAGAUUUGCUUCUUUGACAGAAACAACCGGAAGAAUUUGAAUGUGAAUUGAGUACCGGAAGAACCGCCGGCGCCAAAAUCGUGUCGAAUAAGCCAGCCUUUGCUGGUACCUAAUAAGAUGACGUCGUUUCCUGCUGCCAUACAGGUGAUAACACCACGGCCUUUUGAUGCGUACCGUUCUAGGAGAUCGACGGUGAAUACUUGCCGUGAUUGAUCCAUUUCCUGCAAAGAUUUUUUAGAUGAAAUUAUUGAAUUUAUAAGCAAUGGUUUUGAUUUAGUUUUUUUCUGAGAAAAAUUGAGUUACCUGACUUUUUAAUCGGGGACUGAUCGACCGGGAACGUUACCUGAGGUGGUAACCGUUGAUUAAUGAAGUUAUCGGUUUACAGAGGGAUUUUAACGGAUUUCACUUAUUGAGUUCAAUGAAUUCACACGACGUCGUUCCUCACCGCUUUGGUUUUUCUUGCCUUUUUAUUUUACACUCUUUGUUUCAAGUAUAAAUAAUCGUGGCCGAGUAAAGUUUUUUCUAAUGUAUUAAAAAAAAAUUAGUUGACUACAAUUUAAGCAAAUUUAGAUUAAUUUUAUUAACACAUGGCUUGAAUUAUGAAAUUAAAAUAGUAUGUAGAAAAAGAUAUUGAAAAAUAUUGUAAACCUCAAAAUCUAAUAAUCAAAUGAAAAAUAAUGAAAACAAAAUUCAAAAAAUAUAACAUCGAAUAAAAAUACUCAAGUCAACCUAAAUUACUUGAUUAACCAACACCUCACAAUAUGAGAUUGGAAUAAAACAAAAAAAAAAUCAAAAGAAGAGUUUAGUUAAAAAAAAAAAACUCAAGUUCAAUAAAAAAAAACAGUGUUAAUUCGGGUUAAAUUUAUUUACCCGCUAUCAGGAUAUCCUAAUAGAAAUAAAAGCUAAAAAUAGCAAGGUCAAGGGCCACUAAUUUAAUGUUAAAUGAUAAAAUUAAAAAAAAUACUUUUAAAAAAAGUCGAGGGAAACAAACCUGAAUCAACUCCAGUUAACUUGACUAAUCCGUCACUCAUGAUAUAAGAUCGGGAUAAAAAAAAUAGACUUCCAAAAGAAAAACCUAUCAAAAAAACACCGAAUUUUAAUAAAGAAAUUAUUGAAAAAUAAAACUUGAGCUAACUUGACCAACUCACACUUAGAAUAACCUAAUAGAUAGAAAAAAAAAUCACAAAACUAAAGGUCAAUAUUUUAAUGCUAAAUGGUGAAAUUGAAAAAAAAUCUCAUAAAAAAAAAUUAAAAAAAAAAUUGAGUCAACUCGGGUUAACUCGAUUAACCUGUUACUCGAGAUAUGAGAUUGAGAUAACUUAAAAAAAAAGUGGAACAAACAAUGAAGUCAAUGACCUAAUAACAAAAAGUAAAAUUAUCAAUUUAAAAUUAUUUUUUUUAUAAAUGACCCAAAAAAAAACCCGAACCUAAAUCGAGUCUAAGUCAUGAGACAGAGAUUACCAUGUAAGAAGGCAAUCAUGAAAAAAUAACAAAGUAAAAUUUUUAAUUGUAAAAUAAUUUAGAACUCAAAUAAUAUAGAUCAAAUAUGACAUAAAAACAAAAUGAAAGAAAAUAUUCAGGGGUUAAAUUGGAAAAUAAAAUAAAUUAAUAAAAUGAUAAAAAAAAACAUAAUUGAAAGAAUAAAGACAAAAAUUAGAUAAAAAAAUAAAUAAAAAAAGAUGUCGAGGGACAAAAAAAAAUGAUAUGAGAAUAGCAAUAAAAAAAAUAAAAGAAUGAGGAUCAAAUUUUAAUUAAAAAAACAAAUGCAAUAAAAUGAUAACGAACAAAAUUGAAAAACAAUAAUCAAGAAAAGUAUAUAAAACACACAAAAAAUCAAUCAAAAGUAGAAGGAUCAAAAUAUAUAUAAAAAUCAAAUGGAAUAAAAUACCAAUAGAUGAAAUUAAAAAAAAAACUAAACUUCAAAAAGCAUAAAAAGCAAAAGAAAUAAUUAUUAUAAGAAUAAAAACCAAAAUUGAUAAAAUUACAAAUUGGAGGACACAGUUAUUUUUUAGAAAGGCUGACACAAAUUUAAAGGGCAUGAUAAAGAAAGAAAAAAAAACUUUACCGCAACCCAACCAGAAUUUGGCCAUAAGUCUUAGCAUUAUUUAAGAAAAAUCAUAAAAAAAAUCAUUAUAAAUUAUAUGAUAAUAUCAUAAUUAGAGAAAGUAUUUUCAAUUUAAGUGAUGCUAGAACUUGAGUUCCUAGAUUAAAUUAAAAAAUUUUAGGUUAAUAGAUGUACAAUUGUUUUUAACACUAUUAUAAUUAUAUGUUAAUCUUGUUACACCAAUGCAUCAUUUUUUAUGAUAUUUUCAAUUUUUUACCUCUAUUUUGUUAACAAAACGAUUCAUGAUAUUACUAAUGAUAAGUGAUUAUGAUUUUUUUUUCUUCUAAACGAAGAUGAGAGUUAAUAUUUAUGUUUUGAGUUUUGGUAUUUCCAGUACUAUCUAUACGGGUUUGAAUUCAAAAUUAUUAUUUAUAUUAAUUUUUUAGAUAUUUAAAUUCAACCAAUUAAGUUUAACUAAAUAUCUAUUAAGUUUACAACUAUAAUUUUUACUUUGUGAGAUUUGAUAUUGUGGUGUAAAAUAUUUUUUAAAUAUUUUUAUUUGAAAAUGUAUUAAAAUAUUUAUUUUUAUUUUUUUAUAUUAACACUAAAAAACUAAAAAAAUAUUAAUUUAAUAGUUUUUAAAUAAAAAAAUUAUUUUUAAAACAACAACACUCCUGAAUAUUCACUGCUCUCUUUGCUGAUGGGUUAUGACCCAAUAUGACUGCAGAAAGCAUGGGCCGACCGAUACACGUAUACGCUCCUUAUGGACCCCAUUAAACAAGGAAACAAACCGCCGCACCAAAUCCCGUCCCUACAGAAUUUUCCAUUUUUUGACCAAUAAAUCCUUUAAAUCAAAUCGGAGCGUCUAAUACUAUAAGCCGUUUAUAAUCCAACGGUCAAUAUCCCACCAUUAGGCUCCAACGAAUACUUUUUCUCCAACGGUCAAAAAAAUCCUCAAAACAACUCAAAACCCUCAAAAAUCCCCACAUCAAAAACCCACACACAAAAAAAAUAAACUCUCUUUUCUCACAGACAGAUUCCUUAAAAAAGGAUCCAAUCUUGAUCUGUUAAAAACAUAGAAAAUCCAUCAUUUUGAUCUUUCAAGAAGAAAGAUGAGUAGUAUUCUUCAAUACCCGGAUGUGGUUGAUGCUCCUGAAGUUCAGAUAUGGAACAAUGCAGCGUUUGAUAAUGGAGAAUCAGAGGGUUCUUUGAAUCUUAAGUCUUCUUGGUGGAAUCAAAGUCUUGAAUCCGAUGCAAGCAAAGAGAAUCUUAGCCCAGUUUGUGAACAAUCUUCUCCUGUUUUUGUCAAUUCUUCAAAACCCGCCAAGCCACUUCAAUCUAAUGCCCAUCCUUUUAACUCACAAGGGAGUAAUUCAAUGAAGGUUGGGUUUUCGAAGAUGGUGGAGAAAAAUGAGGAGAUCAAGAAUCAUGAUGAGAAAAAGAUUGAUAUAGAGAUUGAAGAGAUCGAGAAGGAGAUUAAGCGUUUAUCUUCAAGACUUGAAGUACUUAGGCUUGAAAAGGCAGAGAGGAAUUUAUCAAAGACUAUUGAAAAGAGAGGGAGGGUUGUGGCUGCAAAAUUUAUGGAGCAGAAACAGAGUGUCAAGAUUGAAGAGCCAUUGGUUUCAAGUGCUAAAUCGAACAUUAAUAGAAGAGGGGUCAGUUUAGGGCCAAGUGAGAUUUUUUCUGGAUCCAAAUCAAGGUUAUUGUUUGGAAAACAAGAGAUGAAAACUCCUGUUUCGACGCAGAAUCGGCGGAAAUCGUGUUUUUGGAAGCUUGAAGAGAUUGAUGAGUUAAAGGCAACUAAAGAGAGGGGGAAAAGUUUGAGUGUUAGUCCGAGAUCACGAAAAAAUGUGUCCAAAAUUCAAGUUCCUAAACAGGCUGUUACUACUGUGGGGUCUAGAAGGUCAGUGAAGAAAGAAGAUGGGGUUAUUGCUUCAAUUCAGCCAAAGAAUCUAUUCAAAGAUGGGGAAAGAUCUGUGCCUAAUAAGAAACCCUUGAAGCCCGGACGGGUGGUGGCUAGUAGGUAUAAUCAGAUUGGAACAAAUCAGUCUAAUGGGAAUCUAACUGCUAGCGAGGCUCGAAAGAGGUCUUUGCCGGAUAAUGAGAAGGAAGAUGUUAGUAAGAGGCGGGCGUCGCGAGGUAAUGGGGUGAGUCAGAGAACGGAGAGUGGUAGAGUGAAGAAGAAGUGGGAGAUUCCAAGUGAAGUAGUGGUAUACAAGGAUGAUGCUGAGGAGGAAUCUCCGCAGGCAGUUUCUGUAGUGACCGAUAUGUUGCCGAAUAUUAAGACUGUCAGAAGUGUUGCUGAGACUCCAAGGGACUCAGGGCCGGCAAAAAGAGUGGCUGAUUUGGCUGGGAGGAAAUCAUACUUUUUCCCCGUCGAGGAGACUGCACCAGGGGACUCUGUUUGCCAGGCUCUUAGUUUUGCAGAAGAGGAGGAUGGUGAGAACGAGUAAAUUAGGACUAAAGGGAAGUUUUUCUUCUUCUUUGUUGUCCACAUUUGAAUUGGUUAAGGUAUUUUUCAGCUUUGUUGUUGAUAAGCCAUAACUCUUGUUAUGGAGUAGUAAGGUUGUCUAUGGUUUGGUCUAAAUGGGUUGGGACUUCGUAAGUUUGUAGUGUAGUUUCAUUGGCCUUCUGAAUAUAUGCAAUAAUAUGAUAAGUUUUGUCUAUUGCUUUCUGUAAUGAUUCCAUCUUCAUCCAUGAAAAUGUGAUAUCUUAUCUUUCAUUCCUUCUCAAUGGCAUAGUUGUUUGAUCUAUCCUCAUAUUUUUGCUAGGCAAACCAUUACUUUUCUUAUACAUAUAUAGAAUAUGAGGAGUUCCUAGAAAGACCAGCUUCAUUAUUGCAUACUAGAGAAUAAUAUAAACUAUUGACAAGUUAAGUUUCUUGUUAAUUUUUGAUAUGAUAUCAUAGCUAAAAUAAUUUUAGAAAAUAAUAUAAAUUGUAUAUUCUAAUAUCAUCUAAUAUCUUAAAUUUUUCAUUGUAGAUCUUUAAAUUUUGGGAUAUUCAACAACUAUUGAUUGCAUUUCAUGUUACCUUUCCAGGGUCAAGAAAGAAGGUAGCUUUUUAUGAGCUGGAAAGUUAUAGUGCAUAUAGCCUUUCUGGAGAGAAAAAAAAGGAAUAGUUGAACUUCCUCUCCUGGAGAUACUAAAUGAAACUAUUUGCAAGCAAUUGCUAGAUUCUGAUUAGUAAAGAUGGUUUCAAUUCCUCUAGAUUCAGCAUUUUUUAAAGCCAAUGUUGCUGAGUUGAAAAAUCAAAUUCCCUUUAUUACUGAACAUUAGAAAUUGCUCGAAAGAACCUCGGAACGAUUUAGUUAUAGCUUUUUUGGAUUGUUUGCAAUGGCAGCAUUUUAGAUGCAUUGAUCUUACCACAUUUUUCUGCAAGAGAAGUCUAAUUGAACAAAUCUGGUAAUUUUGAUUAUAAGAGAGAUUAGUGAAAGUAUUAGACAAAUAUGACUUGUUGACGUCUAAUGUCUGAUGGAUGUGUUUACGGAUUAGAUAAACAAAAUAAAGCCUACAAAAAAGUGCAUACAUGUCAUGUAUAUAGUCUAAUAAAAACAAUCAUAAUUUCAGAUUUUAUCAUUGAAUGGAGUUGAAAUUUUACAAGUUCUAUUCUAUUAAGGGAUCGACCAGCUAUAACUAGCAAAGUCGGGAAUGUAUUCAAAGUAAGUCAUAAGAUGUUGUUUCUACUUUUUAAAAAUAUUUUUUUAUUUAAUUUUGGGUUUCAAAUAUUUAUUUUAUUGAACUUUGUAUUCUUCUUGUUACUCUAUCUAUACCUUUAUAUAAAUAAUUGAUGUGUUAUUUUUCCUAUCAUAAAAAUACCUUAGUUUCUAUCCGUCCUAUGAAUUGCCUCAACCUCAAUUUAUUAACAAAAAUUGUUCAUAAGCAUGAAUGAUCAAUUUAUGACUCGCUUAGGUUAGGUGUACAGUUCCUAUCAUGCAAAAUUCUGAGAUUAUUACAGCAUGGACAGGAGGCUGGACAAGCCGCCCUGGGUUUUCUCCCCACACUUUAAUCUUGGAUUUUACAUUGGUCUGCGUGUGGAUGCAGGCACAGUUUAGGGACGCGGCUCAAACAGUAUUUUACUAUUUUAUAAAAUUUUAUUUUUUUAUUUUUUUAUAUUUUUUAUACAAUAAUUUUAAAAAUAAAAAAGUAUUAUUUUUAUAUAUUUUCAAAUAAAAAAUAUUUUAAAAAAUAAUUUCCAUAAUCUUAAAAACCUCUUAAUUUCUGUAUAUGAAAGGUGGCUUAGGAAAACCCAAUUAGACAGCUGGUAACCAUUCAUGAUCAUGCAUUAAAGCAAUUAAUCAUGUACUGUUUUAAAUUAAGAGAAAAAACUGUUAUGUUAACAAGGAGAUUCUCUUCUGCAUUAAUGUUUUUUUUUUUUUUCUUUUGGAAGGAGAUCUUUUCUUUGAUGGGAAAAAGAUCUUUAUAUUUCACAAAUGUUAUCCUUUCCUAUUUUGAAUCCUUUUACACGUAAAUGUAAAAUCUGUACUGGCUAGUUGGAUCAAUCAAAAACCUGUUCGAUUUAAAAUCUAAAUCUAAAUCCAUUCGAGUUAAAAUAAAUAAAAAAGAAAAAAUUCAAUUAAUUUGAUUCGACUCGGUUAAAAUUCAUCUUUAAUUUCUUGACUUUUUUCUUGACUUUUUUUUUUAAAUAAUAUUAUUUUAAUUAACAAAACCCUGGAUUUAACCCGUGAUCUUGGUUUUCUCUGGACCAGGUUUUACAGCUAUGCCUUUGACAAGUUAUAAAUUAAAAGAUAAAAAGGAAAAGCUCCAGAAAUAUGUAAUAGUAGGAGUUAAUGCAGGUUCAACGCAUAAAGUUAGAGAUUUGCAACUUCUCGGGAAAUAGAGACCUGUCUCAAUUGCAGUUACUCUAUUUAACCCUGUCUUGCAUGUCAAGUUUCAUUCUCUCACAGUUUAAAAUUCAUGUUUCCAAUUUUAUUCCACAAUGUUCUCCCUAUAUAAACUUCUCUAGUUUCUGCCUUAGGGUUUGCUUCUAUUUUUCAAGGGAGAAAGAGAGAGUAGGGUUUUACAAUGAGAGGGUCUGCAUUCUUCCAGAGAGCCUUUAAAACUUUUCAAGAGCACCCUACUUUCUUUAAGCUGCUUAUUGUCUCCACCGUCAGGUUACAAAUCAUAACAUAUUUAUUUAUUUAUUUGGGUUUAUAAUUGUUUGUGUUACUGUUUUUUUCUUUUUUUGAGGAUUUAUAUGUUCUUGAAGCUUUUGACUAAUUUGUACAGGCAACACGGUUUUUCUUUCUUUAAAAAGUUUCUAAAAAGUGCGUUUCCAUCAUAAAAGCUGUCAGGCACCCUUAUAGAGGUUGCGUUUGGUUAAUGUCCAGGGAGAUAAGUGAUAGAGUGUGUGAGGUUGGACCCUUGAGACUAUCUUCGUGUCUCUUCUGUCUCAGGCUACCUUAAAUACAGUAAAAAAAUCACUGUCUUGAAAAUUAACAUGUUUAUCCUAACUAGCUAGUGACUGCAGAUCCAAAACUUUUGUUGGUGCAUCAAGAAAUGUAAGCAUCUUUUUGUUGUGAUGAUGUAUGUAAUAUACCAUAUGCAGUAUUCCAUGUGAGAACUUGGUAAUAAUGUUAUUUGUUGCUGUUGUUUUCAACUUAUAUACCUUAUUCUCGAAUUAUUGCAGUGGUGGAGGUCUGUUAACGUUUUCUGAUGCCAGUCCAUUCCAAGGAUUGAUCACAGAAUCAUCUCAGAAUGAAGGCAAGAAAAAGAAGGUGGUAGUUCUUGGAACUGGUUGGGCAGGCACAAGUUUUUUGAAAAACCUGAAGAGCUCUUCCUAUGAUGUUCAAGUCGUUUCUCCGAAUAACUUCUUCGCGUUCACUCCUUUGUUACCGAGUGUAACAAAUGGAACGGUGGAAGCUCGCAGCAUAGUAGAGCCAAUUCGCAAUAUUGUGAAAAAGGUCGGAGGCAAUAAUCACUGUUAAAUGUAAAAUGUACAAAGUGUUUAGUUGGUUUUUUGAAUUAGUGUUGCUGAGUUAUGUUUCUUAUUUUUUUCGUAAUAUUGCAGAAACCUUACAAUGUUGAGUUCAAGGAAGCUGAAUGUUAUGAGAUUGAUCCAGUAAAGAAGAAAGUUUAUUGUCGUUCUAACCAAUCCUCAACUUUGGAUGGAAUUGAGGAAUUCACAGUUGAUUAUGAUGUCUUGAUAUUAGCCAUGGGAGCUCGUGUAAAUACUUUCAACACCCCCGGUGUCGAGGAGCAUGCUCAUUUCCUGAAGGUAUGUUCUGAAUUAUGACCUUGAUUUGCUGUUUAACACCAUUUAAAGAAAGUUUGAAAUUAGCAGUGUCAACUAUAGCAAAAUCCAGGAAUUCUUUAAUACUCUAUCGAAUAGCCUGGGAAGGAAAUCCUAAAGCCACGACUUGAUCUCACCCUGCAGGAAGUUGGAGACGCGCAGAGGCUUCAUAAGUCAAUAAUUGACUGUUACGAGCGUGCAAGCCUUCCGAGUGUAAGCGAAGAAGAGAAGAAGCGGGUGAUGCAUUUUGUAGUUGUCGGAGGUGGUCCAACAGGUGUGGAGUAUGCUGCAGAGCUACAUGACUUGGCAUUUGAUGAUAUGGCAAAGCUAUAUCCCUCAGCUAAAGACUACCUGAAAAUAACCCUUCUCGAGGCUGGUGAUCACAUUUUGAACAUGUAAGUCAGAUCAGUUCUCUCUUAAUUUGUUGAGUUCUGAAGUGUGAUUAUGACUGGUAAUGACAAGUUUUUGAUUGAUUGAUUCUUGCAGGUUUGACAAACGAAUUACUACAUUUGCUACCGAGAAAUUCCAAAGAGAUGGCAUUGAUGUAAAGACAGGAUCAAUGGUUGUAAAAGUGUCUGAUAAGGAUAUUUCUACUAAGGAGAGAAAAACCGGUGAAAUUGUUUCUGUACCAUACGGAGUAGUCCUCUGGUCAACCGGCAUUGCUACUCGUCCUGUUGUCAGGGAUUUCAUGAAUCACAUUGGUCAGGUCUGUGGUUCCGCAACCAUGAGCAUCUUACUAUUUCACCUUCAUUUCUGAAAUUUUACUCGUGAAGGACUUUUCAACUAAACUAACCAUUGAGGAUUGUUGUUUGGGCACAGGCCAAAAGGCGUGUUCUGGCAACCGAUGAAUGGCUGAGGGUUGAAGGCUGCGAAGAUGUAUAUGCUCUAGGUGACUGUGCGACUAUAAAUCAACGCAAAGUCAUGGUAUGUGAAAGCAAACAUAUUCAAAAUCUCUGUAUUAUACACAUUGCGUGGUGUUUUCUGAUGAAGUUUUCAGCUGACUUGAUACAAUAAUGCCCUUUGAUUUAACAGGAAGAUAUAGCAGCAAUAUUCAGGAAGGCAGACAAGACCAACACUGGUACUCUAGAUCUUAAAGACUUCAAAGAAGUUGUUGGCCACAUCUGUGAAAGAUACCCUCAAGUUGAGCUUUACUUGCAAAAGAACAAACUGAAAAGUUUUGAUGCUUUACUGAAGAAUGCUCAAGGAGAUGACAAGAAACAAAUAGAUAUCGAAACAUUUAAGAAGGCUCUAUCCGAAGUUGAUUCUCAAAUGAAAAGUCUCCCACCAACUGCUCAGGUAAAACAUAUUUUAGUUUUCACUUUUCUGUUGACAUUAUUCAACCAUCUAUAGUACUCAUUUACAUUAUCGAUUUUCAUUUUCUUUUUAUUUUAUAGGUGGCUGCACAACAAGGAGAAUACCUUGCAAAAUGUUUCAACAGGAAGGAGCUUUGUGAAAAGAAUCCUGAGGGUCCUCUGAGGUUCAGGGCUUCAGGCCGACACCAGUUUCAUCCCUUCAGGUACAAUAUGUUCUCCCACCAUUUUUCUUUCUUUUCAUUCUUCAUAUGCUAUGAAUUACUUAUUGCAUGGAAUUUAUCUAUUGCAUAGAGGAGAUCUAGGAAAGUAAUUUUUUUUUAUAAAUGGAGUAGUUGCUAAACGAUUGGAAAUGCAAUAUAGAAUACUGAAGCUUUAGUUAUGAAAUUUCAGGUACAGGCACUUUGGACAAUUUGCUCCAUUGGGUGGGGAGCAGACUGCAGCUCAGCUUCCAGGAGAUUGGGUUUCGAUCGGACAUAGCGCUCAGUGGCUCUGGUACUCGGUUUAUGCAAGGUAAUGAUUCCCUCAUAUUCACAUAUAUUUGAUUUAUAUCAGAAUAUUUUCAUCACUUGACAGUUCUCCUCCUCUACUUACAGCAAGCUGGUUAGCUGGCGUACAAGAAUGUUGGUGAUAUCUGACUGGUCGAGAAAGUUUAUAUUUGGAAGGGACUCCAGCAAAAUCUGAGACAGCUCAGGACAGUAUUUUCUACAACUAUUCAUGUCAUAUGACAUUUAGACAACAGAUUUUGUUCCAAUUUUGUUUCAUUCCUCUACUUUAUUUAGCCUUGUUUCUUCCAAUACAUAGGGUGUUGGUUCUACAAUAAUCAGUACUACGAAAAGGCUUUACAAAAAGUUACAAGCUCACAUUUUGAAGAAAACAACAAUAUUUUGAUGCAACAGAAUGAAACAGCAUGAAUUGAUAAGAAAUUCAUAAGAAUGACUUGGUUAAAACGGAAUCAGGAUUCGCCAAUAUUCCUAAACAAUCCGAAACUAAGGGCAAGUAUUGUACCCAAAAGUUUUUUCCAGCAAAAGUUUUUCUGCUGAGAAAUUUUUUAAUGCAACAGUCAGGAAAAACACUGACAAACAAAGAUAAUUAUGUGAGGUUUUGAACUGAAGGUGGAAUAAAAUCUGCUAAGAAUUGCCUGAGCAUCGGUACUUGUUUUGCAAGAUUCAUGCUCCAGAACUCUUAGAUUCGACUUGAAUCUCUUCCGAAUAUUGACCUUCUAAGCCAGUCAGAUACCACUGACACUCUUGUGCGCCAGCUGACUAGCUUACUGUAAGUAAAAAAAAUAAAAUCAGAUGAUGGCAUUAUGUUAACGUUAGAGCAGGUAUUUCUGAAUUUGAAUUAGAGUAUUACCUUGUAUACACCGCGUACCAGAGCCACUGAGUACUAUAGCCAACGGAAAUCCAAUCUCCCGGAAGUUGAGCUGCAGUUUGCUCUCCUCCCAAUGGAGCAAAUUGUCCAAAAUGCUUAUACCUUGCAUUGGAUAAUCGACAGGUGUAUCGGCAUUCUCUCUAAAACUCUUCAUUACAAUAUCAACAAACAUAAACAAAUGGUGUCUUUGACAGAGAAGACAGUGUCCUUGUUAUGGAACCUUAAAUUAGUAUCAAGUAAACAAGACUUUUGCACAUGUUCAUCUGGAUAUUAAAGCUUCUAUGAAAAAGGCAUUGGCAAGAAGAACUGAUUCAUGAAGUGCAUUACUUCUUAAAUUUUCUUUUUGAGAUGGACUACCUUUUAAAUUUCCCUGUAUAUUUCAUAGAAAAUAGAGAAAGGAAGAACAUCUAUUUUGUACCUAAAUGGACGAAACCGAUGGCAGCCUGUUCCCCUAAAUCUCAUAGGACCUUCAGGAUACUUUUCACAUUGCUCCAUACGAUUAAAACAGCUUGCAAGGUAUUCACCUUGCUGUGCUGCAACCUUAAAAUUUCAAAAAAGAAAAAAACAGUUACUCGAAAGAGCAUUGUUAGCUGGUUGAAAGAAAGAAUGAAAGAAGGGGAAAAUUUAAAAUUACUUGAGCUGUUGCAGGAAGAUUUUUCAUUUGAGAAUCUACUUCAUGUAGAGCAUUCUUGAAUGUUUCAAUAUCUAUGAGUUUGUUGUCACUCCCUUGAGCACUUUUUAGUAAAGCAUCAAAGGUUUUCAAUUUUUUCUUUUCCAUAUAAAUCUGCACUUGAGGAUACCUUUCGCUGAUGUGGUCAACAACAUCUUUAAAAUCUUUGAGAUCUAAGGUACUAGAGUUAUUCUUGUCUGCCUUGCUGAAUAUUACUGCUAUAUCUUCCUGAUAGUGAAAUGGAGAGAAAAAUCAAAUUUAUUGAGCUCGUCGGCGGAUAACCUACAAUAGCAUACUGACAGGGCACCUUCUAACAAGAAACAAGACACGCCAAAGCUGGCCUAAGGAUACACUUACUGUUAGAACAAAGAGAAUAGUAUGAAAAUUGUCGAUAGAAAGAGCUAAGUGCUGGUUAGAACAUAUAAAAACUGAAAGGCCUCGUAUCCUAUAGCAAAGAGAUGUUAUAUGUCUAAAUUCAUUUACCAUGACUUUCCGUUGAUUUAUCGUGGCACAGUCACCAAGAGCAUACACACCAUCACACCCUUCAACCCUCAGCCACUCAUCAGUAGCUAAAACACGCCUGUUACCCUGAGAUCAAAGAAAUUUAACCCUAAUGGAAUAUCCUAUCACGCAUUGCUGUGAAGUGUAGGGAAAUAUAGAGAUGUAAAUGGUUGUGAGGAAACAGACCUGACCAAUUUGCUUCAUAAAAUCCAUUAUGACAGGACGAGUUGCAAUGCCGGUUGACCAGAGAACCAUUCCAUAAGGUAUUGAAACAGUCUGGCCAGUUUUUAUCUCUUUAGUAGAGAUAUGCUUGUCGGAAACUUUUAUGACCAUUGAACCUGUCUUUACAUCAAUUCCAUCUCUUUCGAACUUCUCAGUAGCAAAUUUAGUAAUUCGUCUGUCAAACCUGUAAGAAACAAGUAAGCAAAGGCUCAGAUGUUAAUUGAUUCUUAAUUUCAAAAAUCACCAUUUGACAGUUGAACCUUCUUUUCUUGGAAAUGAUAUAUUCAGAGAUGUACAACACCUCUUUAUCUGCAUUUCGAGUACCAAACUAAUCGAUUCCGGUCGUCUGUGUGUUUAGAUUUCAUUAGCUAUGAUAUAGUGUACAAAAAUGCUGCACGUAAUUAUUCCUGCAGGAAUAAUUACCAACUUUCAACAAAAUGGAGUUGGAUUGAAACCUACAACAAAAGGCCAGUACCAGAUUCCUGCAGGAAAUGGUGUAUCCAUCUUCCAUAUUCAAGGACCUUUAAACAGGUAUAAACAAAGCGAGAGAUAUUACCAGCUGAUAGUGAUUGUCAUUGAAAAACGCAGAAAACAUAACCACAACCAUGCUUUAGACCCUACCAGACUAAUUUCUUACUGAAGCGAUCUGCCUUACAUGUUCAAAAUGUGUAUUCAAGGACCAUUAAACAGGUAUAAACACAGCAAGAGAUAUUACCAACUGACUGUGAUUGUCAUUGACAAACUUAGAAAAUAUAACCAUAAUCAUGCCUUAGACCCUACCAGACUAAUUUCUUUCUGAAGUGAUCUGCCUUACAUGUUCAAAAUGUGAUCGCCUGCCUCAAGAAGUGUAAUUCUCAGGUAAUCUUUGAUUGAAGGAUAUAGUUUAGCUAAAUCAUCAUGUGCAAAGUCAUGAAGUUCUGCAGCAUAUUCCACACCAGAUGGACCACCACCGACAACUACAAAAUGCAUAAUGCGCUUCCUCUCUUCUUCGCUUAUACUCGGAAGGCUUGCACGUUCAUAACAAUCAAUUAUUGACCUACGGAUGUUCUGAGCAUCUUCAAUUUCCUGCAUGAUGAACUCGGCAAGUUUAGGUUAGGACAAAAUAAUUUUAAUAAUCUAAUUGUUUUAACAUAAUGCUCAGAAGGUGAAAAACUCUACGCAUAGCUACCAAGUCAUAUGAACUCAUCAUGAUAUUCAAUUUACCUUCAAGAAGUGUGCAUGUUCCUCAACACCUGGGGUGUUGAAAGUAUUUGAUUUAGCUCCCAUGGCCACAAUCAAGACAUCAUAAUCCAUUGUGAAUUCUUCAUUCCCUCCUAAAGUGUUGCCUUGAUCAGUACUUCUGCAAUAAAUUUUCUUCUGUACUGGAUCAAUCUUGUAACAUUCAGCCUCCUUGAAUCCAACUCCAAAUGGUUUCUGCAAGAUACAGAAAUAACUUUAUGUACAUGUUGUUUUCCAUUUUCCAACACGGAUGCAGCUCCAAAGCAGCAUUUAAGCCAUGUUAAUAAGAUCAUCACAAUUCUUAUAAUUGUCCCUCUUCGACUCUUUCAUGCUGCGAAUUCUAGACAUUAAAAGAAGUCUUCAACAUUAAUAUUUCACCUUAAUUCAUGUAAUUCUGAAUGAAGUAUAUGCACAAGAUUCCAAUGCAACAGCAAGUACACUACUCUAUGAUUUACAUUUUCAUACCUUCCUUGCAAUAUUGCGAAUUGGUUCAACAAUGCUGCGUCCUUCGACUGUUCCAUUUGUAACACUUGGUAACAAUGGAGUAAACGCAAAAUAGUUACGCGGUGAAACUAUAUGAACAUCAUAUGAAGAACUCUUUAAGUUUUUCAAAAAACUGACGCCAGCCCAACCAGUUCCAAGUACCACCACCUUCUUUUUCUUGCCAUCUCCUUCAGCAUAACUUUGGAAUGCGUUGGCAUCAGAAAAUGCCAGUAGACCUCCACCACUAGCAAGUCAAAUUGAAGAACACAUGAACAAAGAGUCAUUAUUUAUGCAAAGUCUCCAAAUUAUUGUUAAAAGACCAUGAAGCAUGCGAAAGAAAAAGGAGAAGAAAAACCAUAUUCAUUCUGUAACAUACUCUACAGUAAGAUUCAUCCAUAAAUUCCAUCUAUUUUCCUAGCUUACUUCUUUUAUGUUAAUUAUGCAAUGUUCUGCUCCUUUUCUUUUCUUUCCAUUACUUUUCCAGCCAUAGAUAUACCUUGUUAAGGGAACAACCACAUACUACGGUCAAUAACUCUUCAGAAACACAUCUCUUAGAUCAAAACUCAACAAGAUCAAAGAGAACAAAACAAAAACAGAUAGGAAAAAAAGUUAAGAAAAGGUAGCCCAGAUGAUAACCUGACAGAGGAGAUGACAAGAAGCUUAGACACUGUAGAGUGAUCAUUAAAAGCUCGAAGAGCUCUCUCAAAGAAUGUAUAGUACCCUCUCAUUCGAAAAACCAAACUUUUGUUGCCUCUCUAAACAAAAACUAAUGAAACAGUUCUUUCAAUCUUGUUUUUCUGUUGCAAAGGAAGAAUAAAUCCAAGAGCAGAUUCUACUGAGAAGUUUACGGAUCAAAAAUUUGGAGCUAUUAAUACGUGGUGUUUCUGUGUCACUGUCACAGAACCAUACCUUCCUCUAGCAAACAGUUUGGUCCCCUUUUUUUAAGAGGGGUUACAUAUGAUUUUAAUAUUUUUUUUUUUGUUUUUCAUCUCGGUUGAUUCUAGGAAAUCCUCGUACCAACUUAGAUGUAAAAAAUUUAUGUCUCUGUUUCCGCAAAAAUUAUCUAUCAUGAAACUAGAAAAUGGAAAAGAAAAUGUAUUAACCCAUCACAAUUUUGGAAUAGAACCUUUAUCCACAAAGGGAGGAGCAUACAUGCCAACCACAUGGUAUUUAAUAUUAUUGACAAAAAUGUUACUAAUAUUUAAGUUAUGGUAAUUUUAGAAAGAAAAAAUUGUUAAUUUUGAUACUCUUUUAGCAAGAAAACAGGAUCUCCUUGUUGCAAGCCUUUUUAAUUUUAGACACAUUAUAUACCACCAUGGCCUCUCCACAGAGGAAUUACCAGCAGGCAUUUGACCAGAUCCUAAUUUAUCUCAUUUCAAGAUGCCGAGCACUCUUUUUAAUAUACAUUAGAUGAGUAAUAUUAUUUCCCAUAUCAUCCCCCUAAGAUCUCACCCCAUGAUCCCAUAUAUCCAGCCCUUAAUUUUUAUUUCUAUUUUCUCAAGGUGAUUUCAAAGGUGUUCUAAAAACCAUCCCGAUCUAAAGGCUGAGUUUUUUAAAAAAAAUUCGAGUCAGAAGGGUAAUUCACAAUUUUUAAAAAAAAAAUUUGUUCAAAACAAUAUUAUUUAAAAGAACAGUAAAACAUCAUUUAAAAAAAUUACUUAAUCUCGCUCACAAGAUAAAACUACAUGCCUGGUUUACAAACCUGGCUGGGUCCAAGCCUCGGUGGUUUCAGAACACUAAGUAAUUCAAAGAUAUAGAAGCAGCCUUGGACAAGAAACAUGAUACCACAAAACUGAAGACAUCAAGAAAAUACAAGUCUAAGCCUUGUAAAGUUUGGAACUUGCGGGAGCAUGGGCAUUUUUUCAUGGUCGUGUAAAUCAACGAAAGACUUCCAUACAAGAAAGAAUACUUGUCAGCCAUAUACAGCACCAGGUUACCAAGAAAUCUGUUGCUCUCCAUGCUAUUUCACACCUGGUAAACUAGUAAAUGGUAACAGUGUAUCAACUUUACAUACCAAAGGAGAGUACAUAGACACAAAUUUGAAAGGGAAAAAAGGAAAUCAUAUAUAUUUAUGCACGGCAGGUGGAAAUGCUGCGAUUGAGUUGUGGGAAAACCAGUGACUUUGUGAUAGUUUAUAGAAGACGUCAUUUGUUGUCUCAAAUACGGCUUGAAUCUCUUCCAAAAACGAAUCUCCGAGUCCAAUCAGAUACCAACAGCACCCUUGUUCGCCAGCUCACUUGUUUGCUGAAUGAAAGAAAAGGUUACAGUCAAAUUCAUGAAUGUGGAGACUAAAUGCUCACUCAAAGAGCUAGCAAAUCUUGAACUCUAAAAGUAGCUGAUAAUCACCUGGCAUAUACAGAAUACCAGAGCCACUGUGUGCUGCGACCAAUGGAAACCCAGUCUCCAGGCAGUUCAGCGGCAGCCUGCUCUCCUCCCAAAGGAGCAAACUGCCCAAGAUGCUUGUACCUUGCAUUCCAAAAUGUCAGCAUCUUGGAAGUUAGAAACAUGAAGAUGGAAAGGAGGCUUCAUACAAGUAUAACAAAAACUGGUUCAUAAUGUUCUUAUAUAGAUAUUAUAACAGUUCAAUAGGAAAAAAGAUGAGCACUUCAAAGACAGAUAGCAUACCGAAAUGGAACGAAUGCAUGACGCCCAGAACCUACAAAACGCCGAGGACCUUCAGGAUUAUCUUUGCAGUGUUCUCUACGAUUGAAACACCUAGAAAGAUAAGCACCUUGUUGAGCAGCAACCUGAAAAAAAAAGGUAUGUACAGAAAUUCUUGUAUCAUAUUUUGAAGAGAGGGAAAAAAAAAGUAAGACUGGCAUCAAAACGUACAAUAGUAGAUGCAAGAAAAAUACCUGUGCAGUUGCAGGCAGGCUUUUGGCCUGUGAAUCCACUUGAGCAAGGGCUAGUUUAAAACCUUCAAUAUCAACUUCUUUUAUGUCUUUUCCCUCGGGAUCUUUCAUCAAAUCUUGCACAUCUCUCAGACGCAUGUUCUUCAAAUAGAGUUCCAGUUGGGGAUACCUUACGAGGAUAUCAUCUACCACAUCUUGGAAUUCUUGAACAGUCAAGGUACCAGAAUUGUCUUUGUCUGCAGCUUUAAAUAUGGAUGCAAUAUCCUCCUAAAGCACAAUGGCAUUGCAUCAUAUUCAAAUCUUGUCCAAAAUUUCACAAAUUUAUACAAUUAUAUAAAAACCAAGAAUUUGAAGCAAACAUGAAAUGGAUGAGGAAAUAAAAAGGUAAAUGAAUUGAUAGUGAAGACCAAAAAACAAAGCUGAUAAAGGCAUUCAGUUUGUCCAUGAAAGGUGAUUCAAGUAUUUCAAUGUCUCUUUAAAAAUGAGAAGUAUUAAAAACAUUGGCACGCCUCCCUUAUUCAGCAACAAAACACCAGUAUUCAAUAAUUAACGUGAUCUACAUAUGGUAUUCUAAUGCAAAGGCUUAUUUGGGAGUCCAACAGUUAAUUUGAUUGAUCACAAUUCUGUAAGUUCCAUUUACUAAAGAAGUUCCCAAGGAAUUCAUUAGAGGAAUGUUUCCAAUAAAAAUUGUUUGUUCUUGCAUAUCCCUAUUGUUUUUCCAAAUUAAUCCCACAGAUACAUAUAAUUCAAAAGAUAUGUGAGUGAAUAUACAGCAUCUCUUUCUGGAACAUGUAAUAUCAUAAAAAAUAGUAGAAAAAAAGUUCAGUGCACAAACUUCAUAAAGAGACUCAACAUUCCAGCAAAAGAAUUGCAUAUAUUGGAGAUCAGAGAAGCACAACUUGUUGCUAUCUCUGCUUAUUUUGUGUAUUUCAAAGAAGCAAAGGUCUCUUGUUUAUAUAAACAUGCGCACCUAAUCCUAACAUUUUGCCAUCUGCACUCUAUUCUGAUGCAAGUUUUCCAUGAUUUAGGUUAUCAAACUCAAUUAACAGAAAAAACAAAGAACAAAUCCCAGGAUGUAUAGGCUGAAUCUAAAACUAUUAAAGCAUUUCACGAUGCAAAAUGUCCCCAAGAUAAAUAAACUAGGCAUCUCUUAAGAAUUAAAUUGACAGGCUAAAGGAUUCACCAACCAUGAUCUUCCGCUGAUCUAUUGUGGCGCAAUCACCAAGUGCAUAUACAUUUUCACAUUCCUUUACUCGCAGCCAUUCAUUAGUUGCAAGAACACGUCUGUUAGCCUGCAUAUGAAACAAAGUUUAAAGUGUAAUUAAUAGAGUAAGAACAACCAUGUAGUCUGACAACUCUGAAAAUCUCAAAAUAACAGCAUGAGCUUGAUGCCACUCUACAUACUUAAAAACUUGGAUCUUAAGUGACUCGGUAGAAUAACCUUCAUUCAUAAGCGAGCAUUGUCAUAAUAGAGUUAGAAUCUGCUAUAUGCAACGAACCUGCCCAAUUUGCUCCAUGAAGUCCUUCACAACUGGGCGAGUGCUGAUACCAGUAGACCAUACUACCAAUCCAUGUGGUAUAGAUGUAACCUCACCCUUGGAUUUGACCUUCAUGGUAAUUUCUUUAUCAGAAACACUGAGAACUCUACAUCCUGUCUGAACUUCAAUACAAUCUCUUUGAAACUUCUUCUCAGCAAAUGUACUAAUUCUCUCAUCAAACCUACAAAGGCAGAGUAUAGUAGCUGCUUAGUUUUCAAAUUUUCUUCUUGCCCAUUUGCUGAGAUGCAUUUUAUAAGCAAAGAUGAAGCCAUCAUAUCAGCAAUAAACAUACUUCUUUAUAAGGAACAUGAGGCCAAUUAUAUGCAGUAAUAGUUCCAGUGGCACAAUGAUGAUGAAUAUGAGAACAUCUCACCAGAACUGAUAGUUUGGCAUUCCAGUGACUUGUGCUCAGAAGCAUUAUAAAUGUAGAUUGUGAAAGCUAAAACCUUACAUGUUUAAAAUAUGAUCUCCAGACUGGAUUAAGGUUAUUUUCACUAGAUCUUUAACCAUAGGAUAGACAUUGACUAAAUCUUCCUGGAUAAAGUCAUGCAGCUCAGCAGCAAACUCCACUCCAGUGGGACCCCCUCCAACAACUACAAAAUGAAGGUUAGUUCUUCGCUCUUCUUCAGUCAGGCCAGGGAUGGAAGCCUUUUCAAAACAAUCAAUCACACUUCUGCGGAGCUUCUGUGCAUCCUCCAAUUCCUGAAAAGGUCAGUUUCUCCCUUUAUAGAAAGAAAAGCCCAAAACCUCGUGGAAGAUUGCUGAGUAGUAGAUAUUAUACGAGGAUUACAAUAUUACCUAACUUCACCCUAUAUAAUUAAAAUGACCCUACCUUCAGAAAAUGGCAGUUCUCCAUGACACCAGGGGUGUUAAAAGUGUUUACUUGGGCUCCUAUCGCUACCACCAAGUAGUCAUAUUCCAGGGAAAAAUCUUCAGCACCAAUCACGUUGUUCUCAAAAUGAGACUUACAGAAAACCUUGUUUUUUGCAGCAUCAAUCUUGACACAUUCUGCCUCGAAAAAUUGAAUUUCACCAUUUCUCUAUCAAAAUAAAAUGGAAAUUUUAUAAGAAAAUAAACAUGAAAACAUAGUGAUCUGUACAAACUGCAGUCAUAUGUUUAUAUUCAUGAAUGUGAGUAUGAGGUAUUUUUGUGUGAGUGUGUGCACCCAUGAAAUCGCUCAAAAUUUAUCACAUGAUUAAAUAUGGGUUCUUGUUAUCUUCCUUUACCUUCUUUAUAAUAUUCCUCACUGGCUCUACAAUGCUCCGAGCUUCAACAGUACCACAGGUCACACUAGGCAACAGAGGGGUGAAAGCAAAAUAAUUGCGGGGUGAAACAACCUGAACGUCAUAUGAAGAAAUAUCCAGAUCUUUAAGGAAACUAGUACCCGCCCACCCUGUUCCCAGAACCACCACUCUCUUCUUCUUACACUCAUUCUGAUUAAGCUCAGCAGCAGGCGCAGCUGUUUCUGAUUGCGAAUCAGCAUAUGCCACUAGACCUCCACUACUGUAAUAGACCUCAAGAUAGCAGACAUAUUUAUUAGAGAAUGACUGGUAGAAUUCGUGAAAUUGUAAGUUCAUAGUUUAUGCAAAAUCUAUGUGGAUUAAAGCAAAAGAAAAAACUUGUAAUGAAUCCAGAAAAUUAUCUUUUCAAGGACCUUAACUGCUAGUCUCCUGCUUUAUAAUAGGUAAAGAAAAUGAUAAGCUAUUCGGAGAACUAGGUUCAAACAUGGUAGACGUCAUUCAACUAGAAUGAGGCCAAGUUCAAAGCAAAAAACAAAUCAACUAUAAACAAUGGCAUUUCACUAGUAUAAGAUUGUUCAACCUAAUUGGACAAUAUCAUUUAUCCUAUAUGUGUGUGUGUGUGCGCGCGUGUGUGUCGAAAAAUUGACAAAUCAUAUUGUUAGCUUUCACUUGGUGCCGUAUUCUGUUAAAAUCAUUUGUUAAGGGCACCAUUGGGCAUCCUAAAUGCUACAUUUUGUGAAAUGUAGCUACUGAUACCAUGGAAGCACUCAAUUCCGGGAAUGUAGCAUUUUGCAAAUCUAGUUCCAAAACUCUGUAAAAACAUGAUACAUUGCUAUCAAUUCAACAUAUAAAGCGAAUUCUCACACAUAAAUAUUCAGUCAAGUUUGAUGUUUCAAACCCAUUGACUUCCUUUCACAUUACAACAUCAUGAAUUUCACUUGCUUCAGAAGGGCAAAGGUCACAAAUUAUACUAAUGCAUCUAAAAUUUUCCAUUUUGAUCGAUAAACCCCACAUCAAGCUCCUUCCUUGGUUCCUGUCACACUAAAAAACCUCACUAAUCAAAUCCAGAAAAAAAAGUCAACUAUCAAAUAAAUAACUUACAUUGACAUCAAGAAACUACAUUCAACAACAACAUAGCUAUGUUAAGAUCAUAAAUCAAAAGGGACAAAAAAGAUUGAUCUUUAGAAAAUCAAACCCGUUAAAAGAAGGAGAAAUUCAAAGAUUCGAGACCCUUUUGUUUGCUAAGUAAUCUAGUUUUCUUUAAGAAAAAAGAAUGAACCCAAAUUGCAAUUUUUUUCCCUUUUUAUAAAAGAUAUAAACUUUAUGCUUUUUCUCAGCAACCAAAAAGACAAACAGUGUUCCUUUCACACAUUCCAAGUCAACACCUUGAAAGGAUCUGUCUGUUUAAUAAAAGCUACUAAAAUAACUGAAGAGAUCUUUAAAAAUUCACGUUUUUUAACUUUUAUUUGAAGAAAGUAAAGGUGAAGAAACGAAACACUAGAAAAAAAAGUACAUAACCAACCUGAGAGUGAAGAGAACAAGAAGCUUAGAGGAAGCAGGAUUGCCAUGGAGAGCUCUUGAAGCUCUGUUGAUGAAGGACAUAAUCGUCAUUUCCUGAAAAAUAUCUCAAAUUCAAGAGGGUCUUGACUCUUGAUAAAGAAGAGAGCUGCCUCUCAGACACGGCACUGAAUAGUGCCUGCUAAUUAUCCGUAGAGAGUGAUUGGGAGACAAAGACAAAUGCAACCACUUGGCCUUAUGCAAUGAUAGCAUAACACGUGUACUUUUUUUUUCCGCACACCUUCUAAAAAGAUGGAGGGAAUAUGGGUAUUACUUGUGAAGAAAUUAAAAAUUUCACGAUCCUUUUUUUUUUUUUCCUUUUUGUUUCAGCUUUUUUUCUUUAGGUAUGAUCAAGAUUAACUUCUUAUAUAUGAUUUUAUUACUUUGUUAUUGUUUAGAAAUAGAGGAUACGAAAAUAGUAAUAUAAAAAAUACGCGUUUCUUUAUAUUUUAUAUUUUAAAAAUAUUUGAAUUCACUCAAAAAUUAUUUUAAAUACAAACGUAUUUUUUUCUCUUCUAUUAUUUUUAUUAUGAAUUAUUAACCAAGUGCAAAAUAUGGACUUCAUAUUACUCAAAUACAAGAAUAAUUCCUAUAAACAUAUACCAUAAUAUUUAUAUUUUCAAACUCCUGCAUUAUCUUCGAUUUCAACCAGAAAUAAUAUAUGAAUAACCAAAUUUAUUUUUAGUUGCAAUUCUAAGUCAAGCUUUGAGAAAAUAAAAGGGGAGACUUUUUGAACUUUCAUGAUCAAACCCAGUUAGAAUAAUAAAAGUGAAGAUUUUUUAUGGUGUUUGGUAUUAGGUUUAAUUAUAUUAUAUAUAUAUAUAUAUAUAUAUAUAUGUAUGAAUGUAUGUAUAUAUAUAUAAAGGUGUUUGUUUUAUUUAAAAAAAUCAAAUUGUAUUUUGUAUAAAAAGUAAUCAAUUAUAACUCUUAAUUUAUCAGGUCAACUUGUUCGUAAUCACAAAUAUAUAUUAAAUUCUACUUAUUAAACAACAAUUAUAACUUAUCCAAUAAGCAGUAGCACCACUUGAGAAGGCCAUCAGAAACAAUUGGUUAUUAAACGUUUAGCUAGUCAAAGUCACAUAUUACAGAUUCAUAUAAUUAAUUUAAUUUGACUUGAAUUAUUAAUUUUUUUAAAAAAAAUUAAAAUUAUAUUAUUUUAAAAACAAUUCUUGAUAAUUUACUAAAUCACAAAUUGAUUCACCAAGUUAAUUAGAUUAAACCAUAUAAUAUUUUAAAAUAUAUCAACCCCAAGCUAAAAGAUAAGUCUCGAAUUAAUCUAUUAGACUAAUUGUCUAUUUAGUGUGAUUGUAACUUUUAAAAAUAUUUUUCAUUCAAAAAUAUAUUAAAAUAAUAUUUUUUUUUAAAAUUAUUUUUGAUAUCAGCGCAUCAAAAUGAUUUAAAAAUACUAAAAAAAUAUUAAUUUAAAAUAAAUAAAUUUUAAUUUUUUUUAAAAAAAAUUUAGAACAUAAAAAGAAACAAGACAUAAGUCAAGUUGAAUAAUCAUAGUGUGUGAUACUUAAUUUUAACCAAAAAAACAGAAAAAUACAUUGAAAAAUCUUAUGUUUUGCAGUAAAUAGUUUAAAAUCCGUAAACUAAUAAAGAAUAAUGAUAGAUUACCACAAGCAAAUAUACUGUAUUUUUUUUAUCAGGGUAAAAAUAAAUGGAUCAUUAGUCGUUAAGACACACAAUCAUCAUUGGAUCAACGUGUUGCACGUUGCCACGCGGCGUGAGUUUGGCAUUUUUUAUUAUUUUUUUGUUAAUUUUGGUUUUUUUCUGAAAUUUUUUUAAAAAUAUAGAAUUCUGACCGAAUAUUAUCCAGUGAACACAGCCAAAUCCUUAUCUUGUCUGAAUGGCCGACAAAAACAUACGAGGGUACAGAGAAAAACAAAUACUUAAAGAGGCAUAAUCCUCGUAACAAAACCUUUAACGGAGGAAGGAAUAAAAGGAGACAAAAGGAAGUAAUUUUAAAUUCAAUGCAAAUUAACUUGGUUGAUAUAGACAGUUUAAAAUUAAAUUAAAUGAUAAUUUACUAGAUUAAUCUAAUGAGUUAAGACUGAUCAUUAGUUAAAGUUUAGUUUGACUUUUUUAAAAAAAAAUUAUCAAUUUAAUUCUUUUUUAAAACAGUAUCAAAACAAUAUUAUUUUAAAUUUAUUAAAAUAAACUCAAAUUAAUUUAUCCAACUUAUAACUAUGAUUUUUUACCGUACCAUGGAGCCAUACUAGAUUUAAUAAAUUAAGAUAGGAAUGCAAGCAAAUAUUAUAAGUAUAUUUGUAGGGGGUGGGAAUCCACUAUGCAAAAUGAAUUGUGGAUCCCUUACAUGGCAUAAUAGGUGGAUUGUUCACAAUGCCUUUUUCUCCCCUUUGGCCCUUACUAGACCAAAUUGCAGGUCAAUUUGUUGGGGGAAGGGUGACAUUGAAUUACGGGGGAUUAAAGUGAAAAUGAUGGUGGGGUAAAUGACUUUGACAUAGUCUGGGUGAAAUAUUUAUUAAACUUUCCAGACUUUUCGAAUUAUAAAUUUUGGUCCCUUAGCUUCUAAAAUAUGAGGGAAAAUUAAUUUUGGUUCAAAAUUUUAUUUUCGCUAUUUUUUGGUUUCUAGUUUUAGAAAGAGAUGACAGAAAGUGACUGGAAUCCAGCACUAUAAAAAAAAAAAAAUUAUUUUGAUAACUACUUUGACCAAAAAGCAGGUCAAUAAUUAUGUCAAAUUAUUUCAUUUGACGAAGACAUUUCACAUCAAGUAUUUUUUUAUUACCUUGAAAUUGCUUAGAAAAACAUAUAUGAGUUCGAUAAGGGUUUUAGUUUCGGAUUGAUUUUCGAGUUUUCGAAUGUUUUUUUUGUUGUUUUUUCAAGCCAUAAACAUAUUUAUCAAAUUGCCUAAUAUGUUUUAUAUGUGUUUUUGGUCAAAAUGAGUGUUUUUUUUUCAAGAACUUUUGCUUUAAUUUUUCGACCACCAUAGUGGUUGAAAACUGAGCAAUAUCAAAUAACAUGUUAUGUGUCUUAUAUUUUUUUCGAAACAUUUUGGAACGGACAACAUGCCCCACCUAAAAUAUAUAAAAACAAUCAAGGGUUCAAGCACAUGAGUCUACCCUAGCCGGCCCGCGCACGGGCCCUUACUCUAUGGGCCAAGCAUGCUAGCCUAGCAUUUUUCUUUUUUAAUUUUUUUUCUAAAUUAAUGUCUUUUUAUAUGUUUUUUUUUAAAAAUAAUUUUUAAAUUUAUAUUUAAAUUAAAACCCCUUUGCUCUUUUAUCUUGUUUAUUUAGUCUCUUUUAAAUAAUGAUUAUUUUUUAUUAUUAUUUUAUAUGCAUUUAUUUUUUUAAGAGAUUAUUCUAAUUCACCUAUAUUUUUUUUAUUUUUUUAUAUAAAUGAGAGUUAUUUUCAAAUAUAAAAAAUAUUUAUUUUUGGAUAAUAUUUUUAAUAUGUUUACCUUACAUGGUACUUUUAUUUUUUUUAUUUAAUCAAUUACAUGGGUGUCUAUUAUUAUUGUCAUUUGAUUAAAUAGAAAAAAAUUAAAAAGUUGGGAGGUCAAAUAUUUUGGUAUAUAUCUGCCACUUAAUUUUUCAUCUUUAUUUAUUAUUAAUGGCUUUUUAUUUAUUUACUUGCUAAUACAUUGAGUUCCAUAUUUAUUUGAUUAGAUGUAUAUAUGAAUUUUUUGAUUCUCACUUGGGAUUUUUUUUAUAAAAAGAAAAACGCUUAAAAAAGUCUAUAUAUUUAUAUAUUUUUUAAAAAAUUAAUCUAUAAUAAAACACCGGUAAAAUAACUAGCAAAAUUAAGGGAGUUGCUACAACCUAGUAAAUUAUUAUGUUAGAUUGAUAGGCAGAGUGGAGUGAUGAGAAGGCAAAAAACAUAUAAUUAAUUCAUCUAUUUAUGUGGUUAAUAAAAUAGUGAGAGUAUGAGAAUAAAUCCAUAAGAAUUAAGAUAUAAGAACAAUAUAAUUACUGGAGAAAAAAAAUAACAUUACAAAGAAGAUAAAAGAAUGAGAACUUUCUCUUUAAAGUGCGAACAUUAGAAAUUGCAAUUAACACGAUUUAUUGCAAUCCAAAUAAAUAAAUAAACCUUCAGGUCUCCAUCAACACUAAUCAUGCCAUUUUACGAGAUGUCCUACCGUGGACCCAUGGUGGGGGCACAUGAUUUAACGGGGCAUGAUUUGCAUGAUUUAACUUGUUUAGAAAUGUCUUGGAAUUAAUUUUUUAAAGUAUUUUUUAUUUGAAAAUAAAUUAAAAUAAUAAUUUUAAUUUUUUUAAAAUUUAAUCAAAAUUAUACAAAAUCAUAAAAAAAUUCAAAAUUAUUUUUUAAAUACCAAAAUAAACACAUUCAAAUUCUAACUGAAUUCAAAAAUUAACUUAAAACUUGCCGUUUAUAAUUUACAUUAAUUAAAAUUUUAACUUAGUAAGAUUCAUUCAACUUAAUCAUAUUAUUGAAGAAUCGAGUGAUAUGAUAAAACUUGAUUUACAACCAUCCAAGUCAAUAUUGUUUUUUUUUAUUUUUUGGUACUUUAGAUUUUCAAAAACCCAAUUUAUUCAUUUACCCGUAAAAAAUCAUAGUUAUUAUCGUAUGUGUAUUUAAGACUUUAAAUUUAAUUUAUAAUUUAGAUAUGUGAAUUAUAUUUGUCAAUUCAAACCAUUAUUUGUUUUUUUAUAUAAAAAAAAUUUAACUAAAAAAUAGAUUAAAAUUAAGGUUAAAGGUUAUAUUAAAAUUGAGACAUGUUUAAAUGUUGCAUGAUAAAUUGUUUUUAUUUUAGCAUGUUAUUGAUUCACCAAGUUAAUAUAGUAACCCACGUGUUAAUGUAAUUAUCUAAAAAUUUAGAUUAUUUUUUAAAUAAUUUCUUUUAAUUUUGAACAUCGAUUGGGAAACUCACCUUUAUGUAGGUAACUCUAUGCUUGAACAAGCCUCUGAAUUUUCAAAAUACAAAUGAGAAUUUCGGGAGGGACAAAUAGAAUCUGCCAUUCAUGGCACCAUUUUAUUUUUGUGUUCUUAAUUGUUUUAGAUAUUUUUCAAAAAUAUAUAUGGCUUGAAAAAAAAUAUUAAAUUAAUAUUUUAUAAUAUAUUUUUUUAUAAUUUUAAUACUAAUAUAAAAAAAUAUUUAUAUCAAAUACACAAUUAAGAAUCUAAACUAUUGCAGUAAAACCAUGCUAUAUUCUAAAUUCUUGAGAACCGCUUGUCUAAUAAAUCAUAAUUUUAAAAUCUCUUAAUACUAUUUUUAGCCUUUGGAAAUUAAUAAAUAUGUCACUUCGAUUCAUGUAGUUUAAAAGUUUUCAAUGUCAACUCUUAUUUUUCUAGGAGGUCAACUUUUGUUCAAUAUCAAAUGAGAUCAUCAAUCAAUAUUAAUAAAACGUUUUUAUUAUAUAUUUAAGAUAUUUAUUAUUAUAAUCAUCGUUCUUAUUAAUGCUACAAUGAUAGCAAGGAUACAAAAUUAUUUAAUUAAAAAGAUAAAAAUAAAUGUAUUUUUAUGACAAUUUUAAAAUAAUUUUUUAUACUUCUAGAAUACAAAGAAAUAUACGUUUUCUCUAACCCCAAUGUCUUUGUCUUUUAUAUUAUAAGACAAUAAUCAAAAGUUACCUAAAAGUAAUAUAUGAACACACCAUGCGUUUAAUUAGGACAAAAAAAAACUUGAAAAUAAAAUGAUUUUUUAAAAAAAUUUUCUUUACAUCUUAGAAAAUAAAUAAAAAAUUGAAAACCUCAAAUUAACCCACUCAUCGAUAUUAAACUUGAAUAACCUGUAAAAAUAAAUGGUUUAUUUAACCAAGUUUAUAUUAAAAUAAUAAUAUAUUAGAUUUAUCUGUGUUUUGUAAUUUAAGUUAUCAAAUCCACAAUGAGUUAUAGAUUCCACCUGAUGGAAGAACUUGGUUUUUUUCAAUACAAAAACAAAAACAAAAACAAAUGCUUGUUUUAUUAAAUACAGACUAAGUAUCAUGAUAUUUGUUUGAUAUUACAAUAAUAUUAUAAAAAAUAAACCAUUUCAAUUUAUAAAGAUAAAUUUAAAAUCAAGUAAAUACUAAAAAUUAAAAUUCAAAAAAGAAGGAAAAUGAGAAGAAAAAAAAUUCACCCCCUUCAAUGUUUAGAUGUAUCAAGUAACGGAGAGCCUCAGCUGGAAGGUGUAUCAACAAUGGAGGAUUCGCCACUGUUUCACUUGACUUGCUUUCAUUCCAAGACACUGACUUCCUUUCUCCAUUAUGUUAAAAUGGGUUCUGUAUCCAAGUUUCUUAACGAGAACAGCUACACAUAGCAGCCCUUCAAUGCAAAGUGAAAGCAACGAAAGAGAGUGUUUUUCGUUGUCCAGCUUGCUGUGAUAACAGAGGUUGGAGUGCUGUGUCAGCGAUGUCUUUGAGAAAUGUCUACAAAUUCCCAAACUUGGCAGACUCAGAGCAUCUCCGAUGAGAAACGCUAAAUGAAAGAGCUAAAUGGUUAAUAUACAACGAAUUUACGUUGUGGUUUUGAAAGAAUGAGCGUAAAGGUUGAAAACAGGGGAUGGAAAGGAGGCAAUCCUGGACCAUAAGAACUUUGAAUAAAAUAAAACAACAAUUUUCUUUUGCUUCAUCUUCUCCCUUCAGCUCACUCCACACGAUUUUCAGCUUAGCUCAAAACCACCCAUGGCAGCCAACAAACUUUCCCUCCUCCACUAAACCCACACGAUUUCAGUCUCAACCCAGCAGGGACUACACAACUGGAAGCAAGGUGCUUUGAGAUUAGCACACACUGGAAGAAUUAUAACACGUCUUAAAUUGCUUUUGGUUAACACUCACAUGCCAACAAUAUGAUUUCUAAGUCUUGUUCUUUGAAUUAGAAUCAAAAUCAGAAUGCAACAAACCCCAACAAGAAAGCUGCUACAACUCCUCCGAAUAUAUGUUUGGCGUCUAGUUUUUCUCUUCCAGUGCAAGCUCUAUCUUUGGAUGUGCUAUCGAGAACUUUACAGUCUCCAAGGUUUUGAAAAGAGUUUUCAUCUAGAUAACAGCAGUCCAGAAACAACUCUUCUAGAACCUGCUAAGGUCAAGUUAAAAAUUGUUGUUGCUGCUGCAACAUCCAGAGCUCACCUUCAUUGUCAACACAAAAAAAAUAAAAAUGGCUGCCUUCUAGUCGCGGAGCAGUUGCUGUAGGAGUAUUGGUGGGGCAAAGCCAAUCGGAGGAUGUUGUAUUGAGAAGUGCUUGCAAUCAGAGGAUGAUGUACUGAGAAGCGCUUUCACUGCUACACCAAGUAACUCAACCAUGGCAGAUUUUUGUCGAAGUUUGAAUAACAUCUGCUAGCUCGGCAAUAAAUAGAUGACAACGAAUUGGAGCAAUGACUUCCAGCUUCUUCAUUAACCCCAACCAAAGCCAAAUCAAACUCAGCCGAUAUAAAUCCACUCUUCAAAACAAAGAAACCUCUCUAUAGGAUUCCCCCCCUCUCCCUUGGGUGACCGUGAUGUGAGUAAAGAGCAUAGAAACCUGCCUCAUGGUGAAGAGACUGGCUAUGAAAUUUUUGCAUAAGGUCAUGCGUGAAAAUCUGAAAAUAGCAUGGAUUUCGCUUUUGAAAGGAGCAAACACCAAGAGUUGAGACCAUUGAGAACAUAUAAGAUCAAAUCAGAAUCAUCAAUAGGUUUCCAACGGUAGAGAGUUCAUCAACAAGAGAUUUAACUUCAUCCAGAAAUUUCUGACAAGACAAGAAGCCUUGCUGUAAAGACUGCAACUUUCACUUGAUAAGAGAAACGCGAGAAGUUGAUGGCACAACAAAAGAUGCACCAAGGGCUUGCCAAACAAGACGAGAAGUCUCAAGGCCAUAAAUGGUGGAGACCACCGUAGGAGAUAAUGAGUAGAUAAUCCAACCAAGUAUUGUUUGGUCCUUAUACUCCAAGCCAUAUAAGCAGAAUUAAUAAUAUCUUGGACCUUGUGUUCUUUGCUGGAAACCGAGGAGGACAAAAUUCGGAACCAUCAACAAUUCCCAUGAGUUCAUAACUCCGAAACAGAGAAAGCAAUUGAGCACUUCAGGCAAGAAGGUUCCAUCGAGUUUGAUGGAAAUAACUUGAGCUGGAAGAUGCAGCAGAAGACAAUGAAGAAUCUACAACAGCAGCCAGAAGAUCGUUAGAAGCAUUAGUUAUGAGAUGCAAAGAAUUAUAACACGUCUUAAAUUGCUUUUGGUUAACACACACGACUGGAAGCUAAAAGGGAAGUUCUUCUUAGAAUACUUGGCCAGGACUGGGACAAUCAAAGUUAGAUUUUUCUUCUUCAAGGCAAGGUGCUUUGAGAUUUCAUGUUGCUCUAUUCUCUUGCAUCAGUUUUUUAAGAGGAAGAGGCAAGUGCAGAUAGCCGUUGGCUAACGGUUAUAUGUAGCUUCAACAACAUUUUAGCUUUUUCAUAGAAUGUGUACAAAUAGCAUAGCAUUUCAUUUGAAGAAAUGCUAUUUUACCUGUUGAUAUAUAGCAAUCACAUUGGAGUUGCUAACAUGAGAGGAAAAAAAGCUAACAUAACUGUUAUUCCCUUUUAGCAGCUGUGUUGGAGAUGCUCUUAUAGCUGACAAGGAUGACAAAGGAAACACACCCUUACAUCUGAUCGCUGCAUUAGCGUCCAGAUGGGGAAAGUUCUCUGUUUAGAAUUAGUACAACAGAUCAGGAAUUUUUAUAACCAGCUAAUAGUUCCAUCGUAAAACACACUAGUUGUGGCAACAUGAACAAACGCUUGGCAGUAGAUCAAUGAUAAAUUGAUAAUUGUUAUUUGAUAAUAAGUUAUAAUAAUGGAUCAUAAACAAUAUUUUAACGUUUCCCCUGCAGAAACGGAUCUUAGAAUCCUUCGAAAAUGAUGGUAGUAAACCACUUGUGGAGCAUUGUGGUGAAGAGCUGAAAAAGGCAAGCUCAACGGACAAUUAAGACACGGAUAUUUCGAUAAAAUGAGAAUUAUGAAUUGAUUGAAAAUAAACUUCUAUUAAAUCAGUUUCUAUUAAAUAGGCAGUAUAUAUACCAUUACAAGAAAAUCGGGAUCACAAUCGGAUGAUAACAUUAUCCCUGAAGAAAAACCUAAUAACAUCAAACUUCCCAGUAUCUGCUGAAUGAUUCCAACAAAAUAGCAUAUCUGACGAUUUCCUAGAAAUAUAGUUCAGCUAUAGCCAACUUGAUGAUCUCUCACGAAGAUUCCAGCAUCUCUUUCAUUCCUAACAAUAGCAGCGGUCACAUUUACGGCACCAUUUCCCUCCCAUAGCCUGCCGGUUACAGGAACAAACAAAGCCCUGAUCAAGGCACAGCAAUUCUGAUUAACAAAUGAUAUGUCAAUUUCAAACGUCUGGCAUCAAAACAUGCCAACAGACAUUUAGAAUUGCAGUGCCAUGAUUAGGGCCUCCUUCGUUCACGAGAGCCUUCCAGCUUGCCAUCAUCUUACAUUACUAAUAAGAAAGUUUGAAACUGCAAUCCUGGUUAUGAAGUCUACAGAUGAAGUCUACAAUCUGUAAUAAGGCUCGUUUUUAUAUUAUUCCAGUCAUUUGAUUGACUGGAAAAAUUUAUAAUAGAUCCAUUAAUGAGCAUUCAAUUGUAGAACAGAAAAACAAGGGAAAUGGAUAUAGUGCUGUUAUUUAACUCCUAUCUUGUGGGUUAUGCGGGAGAAGAAGCUGAUGACAACACACACUGUCUGAGUUUUUUCAGGCUCUAAACCCAUUUACAGAGGGUACAAGAGUAUAGUUAAAACUCAAUUUCAAUAGCAGAUUUAAAAACUACGAAUUUUUCAGAAUCAAUUUGCCUCAGUUAAAUCCAUUAAUAUCAUUACAAUGUAGCUUACACCAAGUAGGUUCUCCCUGUAAACAGGGUCUCGGCUCCACUACACCUAAAAUAAAUUGGAUUGUAUCAUCACAGACAAAUUUACAAUACAUUGAUGCUCAAAACAAAUAAUAACAUGACAAUUUUCAAAAACCUUACACAAUCCUGCAUAUUCUUAUACAAUAAUUUAAAUCAAUUAAACUAGUUAAUAAUUGCAAAAACCAAGAAGCUACAGAUCUAUAAAUUAUAUGGCUCAGAGAUAUAACAGCUCUAUCAAUCAAGAAUUAUCAGUAGCAGAACUGGCAUUAAAGCUGUGAAUUGAUCAUCACUGCCAAUUUUUUAAAUGAAGUAAAAACAAAAUAAAAGAUCUCUACGGAGAAAAGGACUGGCUCAUAUCAAGAAAUUCAACCAUUAAUUUAUUUUUUGCUUCAUUGAUUUCUCUCAGAAGCGCGGAUAAAAUCCAAUUUAAUCAUCGCCAACAAAUUGAAUCACAGAAAACAAUCAAACUUUCAUGAAUUUAGAGGGAAUUUUUAGAGGCAAAACCAUUAACCAAAUAGCAUAAGCCCCCACGUGAACCCCACCAAAAAGAUUCAGUCUUUGCCUCAUUGACUAGCUUAAUUUCAACCAUUUAUCUCAAAACAAGCUAGAGGUAUAGGGAGGCAACAAAAACAUAGAAAAAACACAAACCCAUAUGAAAAAACAGUGAGGUUUUCAAGAAUAAGAGAUGUAGCCGUUUAUUUGACACAGAAAAGCCGUGGAAAAGGUACAAAGGCUAAACUGCAACACUAAACGGCAGAUGCUUUAGCACGAGCUUUGGGACUUUCUACCUCAGGGGUUUGCAAUCAGCGAAGCCUGGGAGGCAUCGUGCAGCUAAGAUCUUGAAAAGAGAAGAUUUUUGAAAUGAUUUGUGAUUUGAUAUAACAGAGCCUUUG
rnacentral:lncRNA from 1 species